UGCCGAAGAGAAAAGUUGGUUUGGGGAGGAGCUUUAUCGAGAUGAGAAGAAAAGAAAAGGAUGAAGUGUUUUAGAUCUGGGUAGAUCAGGUCAAUAGUGGACUAUGCAAUUUUUACAUAAUGUAAUCUAUAUUUGGGCUUAAAUCUAUCGUAGUAAUAUUUAGAUGCAAUUAAUUAUUAUUUAGCUUGUUUUAAGUCCUAUUUUGUAUGAAAGUUUUGUGAUUUCGAUUGUUUUGAUUAUAUAUAAAGAAGUAAAAAUGAUUUUUAUAAAAGUGACUUUUGAUUUUGAUUGUUUAAUUGGUUAUAAAGCGAUAUAUAGGCAAUUAUAGUUUUGUGGUUUCAAUUGUUUGAUGUGUAAAGCUACUAUACUUUCGGAAGUAUAAAGUAGUUGGUGGUUCUAAUUUUUUGGCCCUUGGAUCAAGAAUUGUAGGGUCGAGAUGAUAAUAGUCCUCCUAGGAUUUAGUGGUCCCUCUUAGACUACAUUUGGUAUAAGAAUUACUGGGGAAUAAUUCAUUUUAUACUCUUUAUUCUACGAAACAUGUAUACAAUAUAAUUUUUUUUCUAGAAUAACCUGUUAAAAUAAUUGUACUCUCACCCUAGAAUAGGAUUUAUCACUGGAGAUAAUCAAGGGCAAGGUAAUAAUAGCCCUUUCUCUUUUCCCAUUACGCCUCAUAAUUCCCGCCGCUUUACUCCCUCCAUCCCACCAACCCUCUUUCCUAUUAUACAUAUAAGAAAAUUAUUAUUGCUUAAUCAUAAUAAUAAGAUAUUUAAUUAGUAAAAUAAAUAAAUUAUAUUUUACUUAUAUAUAUUUGAAUUUAAAUAAUUAUUAAUUUGUUUGGUUGACAAUAGGAUUUGGAAUUGGAAUCAACUUAUUAUUAUUAUUCGGUUAAGAAAAUUUUAAUUUACUAUUUAAGCUCAUAAUCAUAAUUUAAAUUAAAAUCAAAAUUUAUAGUUUAAAUUUAAAUUUAGAUUUGUAAUUUAAAUUUAAUUUCAAAGUCAAAAUGUAAAACUAUAUGUAAAUUCAAAUAUAAAACAUAUAUUAAAAUUUAAAUUUAAAUAUAAAAAUUAAUAAAUUUUGAAUUUAUAUUAUAAAAUUAAAUUUAAAAUUAUAAUUAAAUCUACAAGAAAUAAAUUAUAUUUUUACUUAUAUUAAGUAUUAUUGUCACGCCCCGGAUUACCCGUUUUCCUGGCCACGCCAACAGACCUGCCGUAUACAAAGGAAUUUUCCAUACAUACGAAGUGAUAGCUGUACCUGUAAACAAAUCCAAGCUAUAACUGCAAGGUAAAGAGCUGCUAAACUGAAAAGUAAUAUAUAAACCCUCGAGGGGUUCCAGUACAUAUAAAAUGUCUACUACACUACUCGCUCCAGCGAGUACCCAGGUAACAACCAUAUGUACAUAAAUACCCCAAAACUACCUGUGGGAGGUACUCCUCUAGUACUGCAGCAAUCUGGCAAGGAUCUAGCUCGCAACUUUCCACGAUUAGAAUCAACAUCAAUAGCAGCCGCAGACGAAGAGGGGUCAACAACUGAAUGUGAGAACUACUGCAAAAAGAAGUAACCCUCAGUGGGUACCACUACCGACCUCACGGCUCACCCAUUAAGUCUACAGAAAGUAUGCACAAGGAUAUAUAGUAAAGGAUGCUGACAAAACACUACAGCUAUAUGCCACUAUACUAUCGCUAACCACUAUCUGUAGAUAAAAACUGCACUCUCUGACCCAAUCUCACUAGGGAUUGUGAACACACCCGUCCCGCCUGUCGAAACUACACCAACCACCACCACGCUGGGUUGUCGUGGAGAGCACGUCCAACCAGGACACUACGACAUCAACGCAAAAGCACUAAGCUCGACUCCGGAGCGACACUCGUGGGCGCUACCCAACCGAGUAUGCAAGAAUAUCUCUGUCGAGCUCAAUCAGGCUCUCACAGGCUGUAAUCAAUGCAAAUGGGCCUAAUUAGUCUAACAACCAAAGCUCAUGUGCCCUUGGCACAAUCUGAUACAAAUACAGAAAUCUGGGUCCACCGUCAACCGCGACGGCACCCGACAGUCCGAAACAGUCUAUACACUAUUAUAAAAUAAGCUCGGCAUCCUAGCACGAGCGUAAACUCAUCAUAUACUAAUCUGGGUAUCUACCGCAUACGAACAGCGGCGAUACAAACGAACCACAGCUCCUAAAGCUAAAUCUGGUAAUUUUCAGAAAGUGACAGUAUAGGAUCUAUAUGUUUUCUCCUAAGUCAAUUCCAAGUCCAACAUGUAAAAUUAUCCUACUAGCUUAACUCCAAAUUUAGAUUUUAUCUCUAAUAUUCAUGAAUUCAAGUACUAGCAAGAAAAUAACCCAAUGAAACAUGUCGACGAUAUAAGAACUUAGGAGGUAUUCCGGCGAUUUCGGUAAACUUCAACCCACCUCGGAAAGCUCGUCCAACUACGGCGAGAAGUCAAAAGAAGAGGAAAACACACGCUCGCUCGGUCUCCAACGGCGCAACUGCGACGCAAGCAUGCUCAAACGGCCCUCCGGAUCGACGUCGAAAAUCUCUCGAGCUUGAGUCGCGAUCUCCACCUCGAACACGAUCAAAAACUAGAAGGGGAGAGAGAGCAGCAAACAAAACCUCUUCUCAAUGCUCUCAGUAAGUAUAUAAGGUUGAGGAUAAGGUUGAAAGUAUCGAUACUUCAAAUGACCAAAAGGCCGCUCAUCAACUCAAAAUUCCAGCUGGAGUAUCGGUACCCGAUUUGGUUACUGGUGCUCGGCCUCUCAGCCCGCAAGCUCGCACACCGAGUACCAGUACCAGCGCGAUGAUGUACCGGCACUCAGCAUCAAUUGGCGCAACCCGAGAGCAUACUGUCCAGGAUUUACACUGGGGUACUGGUACUUCUCUGUAUGGUACUGGUACUUAAUACUGAGAACCUGCACUUUGCAGAUUCCAAUGUUAAAACUCUGCUCUCGUGUCGCACUGAGUCCGUUUUGCAUAUAUUUCGCGCCAAAACGACUCCGACUUGUCCCUACACUCUCCAGAUGUGUCGACAAGCCUCAGAUGCUGAAAUCUCACUGGCAACCAACUACAAGGGAUACUACAUCCUCCCCCACUACAAAAAGUUUCGUUCUCGAAACUUAACGCAUACCUCAAUCCUGAGCCUCAAACAAGUAAGGGUAAGACUCCCGCAUCACCGUCUCCGGUUUCCACAUCGCCUCAUGCUCCUCGUGAUGAAUCCACUGCACUUUUACAUAAGGGAUGACCCGAUUGCGCAAUUCCUUCAUCUCACGAGCAAGAAUCCGCACUGGUCGCUCCUGAUAUCUUAAGUCCUCGCCAAGCUCCAGUGGAGUGAAGUCGAUCAUGUGUGAGGGGUCAAACAUGUAUCUUCUCAACGUCGAGACGUGAAAUAUAUCAUGAAUACCGACCAAGCGUGGGGGUAGAGCAAUUCUGUAGGCUAUUGAUCCGACUAGCUCCAAAAAUGUGAGACAAACCUCGAGUUUCGAUCCGAUACUAUCGAGGUAAGCACACCAUGCAAUCUAACGAUCUCAUCCAAGUACAACUGAGCGAGUCUCUCUCUGGACCAGGUGGUCUGUACUGGUAGGAAGUGAGCAGACUUAGUCAGUCCGUCCACUAUCACCCAAAUAGUAUCGAAACCACCUUCUGCUCUCGGUAAUCCCACAACAAAGUCCAUCGUGAUCUGCUCCCAUUUUCAUUCUGGCAUUAGCAGAUUCUGAAGCUUGCCGGCAAGUAUCACUACUAGAAAAUUAGUCAUUAGUGGCAUUUAUUUAUACUGCUAAAUGAUCAACAAAUGCUGCUAAAAGUUUUAGCAGCAUAUGACACCAAAUGCUGCCUAUGCUAAUGUUGCUAAACAUAUUAGCAGCAUUCAUUAUAAAUGCCUUAAAUAUAAAUCAAUUAGUGUCAUUAGGAACAUGCCGCUAAAAGGAAUUAAAUGCUAAUUUUAAAUUGCUUAUUAGUGGCACAUAAAUAUAAUGCCGCUAAUACAAAUAUAUGAUUUUAGAAAUUAAAAUUUUAAAAUCUUAAUUUUAUGAAAUUAAAAUUUUAAAAUUAUUUUAAAUUUAAUUUUUUUGAGAUGAUACCUGCUUCGUUUAUUUUUUUUUUGAAAUGAACUUUGCUGGAAAUGUGAAUUAACUAAGAUUCGAACUUGAGACCUCGAGUACCAACCACCAAGCCCUUUGCUACUUGUGCUAGCAACUAUUAGUUAUUUAUAUUUUAAUUUUUUUUAAUUUUUAGUCUUCUAUUUUAAAAUUUUAAAAUUUUAAAUUUUAAAUUUUAAAAUUUAAAUACUAAAUUUAAAUUUUUAAUUUUGAAAUAUGAAAUUUUAAGUUUCAAAAUUAAUAGUUUUAAAUUUGAAAUUUUAAAUUUAAAAUGGAUUUAAAAAUUUAAUGUAGUAUCCCUGGUGUGCAGCAUUUGAGGCUUGUCGACACGUCGUGAGGGUGUCGGGACAAGUCCAAGUCGUGUUGGCGCGAAAUAGACGCAAAACAGACUAGUGGGCACGCGAGAGCAGGAGUUAACAUUGGAAUCUGCAAACUGCAGAUUUUCUGCUUGUUGUACCGAUACAACAUCGGAAGUGUACAGGUACACUUUCUAUACCGGUACAACAUCGGAGGUGUACCGGUAUACUUUGCCUGUUUCCGCACAGCUGCUCUCGGGUUGCCAUUUGUACCGGUACAGUUGCUCGUGUACCGGUACACCAGGGUAAGUGAGAGGGCUUUUUGGUCUUUUCUCACCUCGUUUGUGUCACCCUCUUCCCCAGUCUAUAUGUUUGCGUAGAGAGGAGUUGAGGGAGAGUUUUUCUGCUGGUUUUCUUCCCUCUCUUUCUAGCUUGGACCGAGUGUGGAGGAGCUCUCGGGUGGAGUUGUUUCGUCGCCGGCGUCGCGUCGCGGAGCCAUUCGAGCACACGAGCGUUGUGGUGGCUGCGUUGGGAGGCUGAGCGAGCGUGUGAUUCCGCCGUUUCGACGUCGCGCCGGUGUUGGAUUAGCAUUUGAGGUGGGUUUAUCAUCGGAUUUCUACUCCUAAAGUCUCGGUUAAUGGCAUGUAUAUUUUGUGUUAUGCAUUUCAUGUGUAAUAGCUCGAAUUUGUGAAUUGUUCAUGUCUUUGACAUCUAAACUGAAUUUGGAGCAUAGUGUUAUUGGUAGAUAAAUUAGACAUGUAGACUUGGAUUUGACUUAGAAGAAAAUCCGCGAAUAUAACCCGUCAUAUGCUUACACUACCAGUUUAGCUUUAGGAGCCGUUGUUAUUUGGUAUCGCCGCAGUAUCAGCGUGGUGGAUACCCCAGGUAGUGUAGAUUGCUGUUACGCUCGUGCUGGGAUGCCGGGCCUAUUUUUUUUUACAGUAGUGUUCAGACUGUUCCGGACUGUUCGGGGCCGUCGAGGUUGACGGUGGACUCAGAUUGCCGUGUUGGCACCAGAUUGUGCCGAGGGCACGUGACUUGUUGGUUGUUAGACCAGUUGGACCCUGUUUCUUGACUUUAGCCUGUGAGAGCCUGAUUGAGUUCGACAGAAAUACGCUUGCAUACUCGAUUGGGUCGCGCCCACGAGUGCCACUCCGGAGUCGGACUUAGUGCUUUUGCGUUGGUGUCGUUGUGUCCUGAUUGUACUUGCUCUCCACUAACUACCCAGCGUGGUGGUUGUUAGUGCAGCUUCGACAGGCGGGACGGGUGUAUCACAGUCCCUGUUGAGAUUGGGUCAGUAUUUACUUUUACUACAGUUGGUUAGUGUAGCGCAUGAUAGUGUAGGGACAUGUAGCUGUAGGUUGUCUUCCAGCUUUUCCUACUAUUUUUACUUCCUUCUGUAGACUUAGUGGGUGGACCGAUGAUGUUGAGGGCGGCACCCACUGAGGACUAUUUAUUUUACAGUAGUUCUCACACUCAAUUGUUCCUUUUCGUUUUGUAGAGCCGUCGUCGUCGGCUACUACUGAUCCUGAUCGUGACAAGGGCGUCGCGAGUUAGAACCCUACCAGACGAGCCAGAGCUAGUGGAGUACCAGCUACAGGUAGUUAUAGUUUUUGGUUCAUUACAUACUGAUGUUAUACCUCGCUGGAGCGAGUGUUUUUGUACCAGGAUACUGUGUAUGUACUGAUCCAUUUUUAUUAUAUACUCAUGUUCUUUUUCCUAACAGCUCUAUACUACUGGUUGUAGUAUUGUAUUAUUGCAAGUACAGUUACAGCUUCGCUUCGUUUACGGAAAAAAUUUCUAUGUAUACGGCGAGUCUGUUGGCGUGCCCGGAGAAAUGAGUAAUCCAGGACGUGACAUUUAAAAUUUAAAAAUUAAAAAUUUUAGAAUUUAAAAUUUAAAAUAUAAAUUUUAAAAUUUUAAAAUUUAAAUUAUAAGUUAAAUUUUUAAAAUUAUAUGUUUCGAAUUUUAAACUUUAAUUUUAGAAUUUUUAAUUCUAAAUAAAAAAGGAAUAUAUUAAUUAGUAAUGAUAUUUAGUAAUAAGUGCUGCUAGUUUAUUAUAUUUAGCGGCAUUCACUAAUUUAUACUGCUAACUUAUCAUAUUUUGCAACCUUAAUAGUAAAUUGCUGCUAAAUAAUUAAAUCUAGCGGCAAUUAUCAAGUAAUGCUGCUAAAUAUAUUAAUUGGUAUGAUUUAAAUAAAAUAUUGCGGAGCAAAUAUUGCGGCAUUUAGCAAUAAGUGCUUUACUUUAUUACAUUUAGUGUCAUUUUUUAUAAAAUGGCGGCAUUCACUCAUUUAUGCUGCUAAUUUAUUCUAUUUUGCAACAUUAAUAGUAAAUUGCUGCUAAAUUAUUAAAUUUAGCGGCACUUAUAAAGUAAUGCUGUUAAAUAUAUUAAUUAACGUUAUUUAAAUAAAUGCUGCGGAGUAAAUACCGCUAAAUCAUGAAUUUGUAGUAGUGCACCUGAUGCUCAGCUUUCACUUAUUGGCAAGUCAGACACUGAACCACAUAUCUACCAAUGUCCCGCUUCAUUCCAUUCCACCAGAAGUGCGCGUUCAAGUCCUUAUACAUUUUGGUUCUACCAGGGUGAACCAUAUAAGGUGAGUAAUGAGCCUCUCUCAAAAUCUCCUCUCGGUUCUCUGAAUCCAUAGGCACACACAGUCGGUCCCUGUACCGCAGUACUCCCGAACUGUCCACAGAAAAGGCCUCCGCAUGUCCCCUCUCUAACUGCUCUCGAAUCCUCAAUAAGUACGAGUCUCCACUCUGUUUCUCCCUGAUCCUGUCUAACAGAGUAGGCUGCAAGACCAUAGACAUCAGUCUCGGAGUAGACCCAGGGGACACUACCUCGAGCCUUAACCGCUGCAGCUCCUCAAGUAACGGCUUCUGCUGAGUAAUCAACAUGCCCAAGCUCUGCACUGAAUUCCUGCUUAACGCAUCUGCCACCACAUUCGCCUUGCCGGGAUGAUAUUGAAUACUAAUAUCAUAGUCCUUCAAUAACUCUAACCACCGGCGUUGCCUCAAGAUUAACUUCUUUUGGGUGAACAGAUACUUGAGACUUUUAUUAUCAGUGAAAACCUUGCAGUGCUCGCCAUACAAGUAAUAUCGCCACAACUUCAAAGCAAAAAUCAUCGUAGCAAGCUCCAAGUCAUGCGUAGGGUAAUUUUUUCUCGUAAUUAUUCAGUUGCUGAGAAGCAUAAGCAAUUACCCUACCAUGCUGCAUCAGCACACAACCCAAACCACUGUGUGAUGCAUCACUGUAAAUCACAAAUCCUUCCCCUAUAAUUAGGAGGGCAAGGAUAGGAGCCGACAUCAACCUCUGUCUCAACCCAUCGAAGCUCCUCUGACAAUCCUCACUCCAGAUAAAUUUAAUUUCCUUUCGAGUCAAUCGAGUGAGGGGUGUAGAAAGCUUCGCAAAGCCUUCCACAAACCGACGAUAAUAUCCAGCUAAUCCAAGGAAAAUCCUCACCUCGGUCACCGUCAUCGGUAUGGGCCAAUCCCGAAUAACAUCAAUCUUCUUCAGGUCCACUGCUACUCCAACCGCAGAAAUCACAUGGCCCAAGAAAGAAACCUCCCACAACCAAAACUCGCACUUCUUCAGCUUAGCAUACAACUUCUUUUCCCUCAAAAGCUGUAACACUAUCCUCAACUGCUCCUCAUACUCGACAUUACUCCAGGAGUAUAUCAGAAUAUCAUCAAUGAACACCACUACGAAUCUAUCCAAGAACGGCUUGAAUACUCUAUUCAUCAGAUCCAUAAAUGCGACAGGGGCAUUCGUCAAUUAAAAAGGCAUCACAGUGAACUCAUAAUGCCCGUAUCGAGUCCGAAAGCCUUCUUGGGAACAUCCUCUGAUGCAGAAUCGGGUGCGGAUAGGAUUGAUCCGUUUAGGUUUUAAAUUUUUUUCUAAUUUUCAGAAUUAUUUUACUUUUUAAUUUGUUUUAGUCGUUUUUGUGAAGAUUUUUAGGAUUUAUCAUAUGGAAUAAAUUACUAAAAAUUAGGGAUAUGGUUUAGAUUUUUUUUUAUAUACUCAAAUUAGGAAAAUAUCUCAAAAAUCUUGAGAUUUGAAUUAGAUUAGGAUUACGGUUGGAAGGUUAUAACUAUAGCCUAUAAUUUGUAAUUUGGGAACGAGUUAUGAUAGAAUAAAAUUUGGGUUUGUGUUUUGACUGUGGUCAUGGUAUCUUCGUCCCCUCUCAUUCUCUGCCGUGUGUAUCAGCAAGAUCCUUCUCAAGAGGUUCUAUCUUUUUCUUUCUCUUCUUCUUUUCUCCUUUCAUCUAUUUCUCUUAUUCUUCAAUCUUCUCUUAAUUUUCUUUUAAAAGAAAAUGUCUAAAUCUUUUUUUUUUCUUAGAGCCGUACUACUUUUUUAAUUUUUUUCCUCUUUUUUUUAUUACGAAAAUUAAUUUAAAAUUUAUUAAAAUCUUUAAAAAAAUAUUUUAAAAAAUCUAAAAAUUAAUCUAAAAUUUUUAGAAAAUUCUAAAUUUGGUUUUAAAUUGAUUUUGGGCUCAUCACUUGGAAGAUAGAUUAUGGUUUUCUUAAUCUGUCCUGCAUCAGUUUUGGUAUCAGAGCAAAAUUGAUCAAUAAAUUAAUUUUCAUAAUGCCGACAAACGCAAUACUUUGUUCAAUGCUUGAAGAAUUUAAAUUUUCUACCAACACUCGUUUUGAAAAGUUAGAAACUAAUUUGCAAUCAACUAACCAACAAUUAGCGAAAAUCAAACAACUCCUUGAAAACCUAAUUCAUUCUAAACCUCCACCGCUCACGAGCUCGUCUAUAACAUCUGCAACUUUCGUCCCACCUUUGUCCCACCAGAACAUCAUUUCUAUUUCUUUUAUCUCUUCUUUCCAAACUGUUCUGAGAUUUGAUGGUGUUCAUUCUCGAGUGCAAAUUAAUCAGCAAUUUUCUCGUAAUCUUAUUUCAAGAAAAUUGGUAGAAAAAUUAAAUUUUAUGCCCUGCCGUUGUUCUUCUCCUUAUCUUAUUUCUUAUGGUGGCACUAUUAUCAAAUCUAACUAUAUUAAAUCCGGCAUACUCACAAUGCAAGAUGAAUACCAACAGGAAAUUGUAUUCGUCAUGGUUGAUAUUGAGGGAUGUGAGAUAGUACUUGGACAACACUGGCAUGAAUCAAAAAAUGCUUUUCAAGCCACAGAGGAAAAUUAGUAUAUCUUUCAUGAUAAUGGCAUUCAAUAUGCUAUUUUUCCAAACGUAAAGAAGCCGAAGCCGAUGUAGCUACAUCCAAUCAUGUCCGACUCUUCACCACCUUCAUCGACUCCACAAACUUUGGAGCCAUCUAGGCAGAUUACGGAGCUGCCUGUUAUUUCACCUUCGUUACCACCACCGAAGACUCCUUUUCUACUACAAGUUGAGUUUCAAACUGCAGUCGUGGCUGAGAUGGUGCUGACAAGGAUUAUUCGACAUUCAGGUGUCGGACUACAUCAUCAUAUCUGUGUUAUGGUUUGGUGCUAUUAACUUCUUCUUCUAAAUAUAUUGAUCUCGAGGACGAGAUCCUGCGCAGCGGAAGCGAAUGAUGCAAAAUUGAGGGCGGAUAGGAUUGAUUCGUUUAGGUUUUCAACUUUUUCCUAAUUUUCGGAAUUAUUUUACUUAUUAAUUUGUUUUAGUCGAUUUUGUGAAGAUUUUUAGGAUUUAUCAUAUGAAAUAAAUCCCUAAAAAUUAGGGAUAUGGUUUAGAUUUUUUAUAUAUAUACUCGAAUUAGGAAAAAGCCCUAAAAUCUUGGGAUUUGAAUUAGAUUAGGAUUACGGUUGGAAGGUUAUAAAUAUAGCCUAUAAUUUGUAAUUUGGGAACGAGUUAUGAUAGAAUAGAAUUUGGGUUUGUGUUUUGAUUGCAGUCAUGGUAUCUUCGUCCUCUCUCCUUCUCUGCUGUGUGUAUCAGCAAGAUCCUUCUCAAGAGGUUCUAUCUUUCUCUUUCUCUUCUUCUUUUCUCCUUUCAUCUAUUUCUCUCUUAUUCUUCAAUCUUUUCUUAAUUUUUUUUUUAAAAAAAUGUCGAAAUCUUUUUUUUUUCUUAGAGUCGUAUUACUUUUUUAAUUUUUUCCUCUUUAUUUUUAAUUACGAAAAUUAAUUUAAAAUUUAUUAAAAUCUUUAAAAAAAAUAAAAAAAUCUAAAAAUUAAUCUAAAAUUUUAAAAAAAUUCUAAAUUUGGUUUUAAAUUGAUUUUGGGCUCAUCACUUACAAGAUAGAUUAGGGUUUUUUUAAUCUGUCCUGCAUCAUCUUCGGCUCUCACCCGCAACUGGUGGUAACCUGACUGGAGAUCAAUAUUCGAAAGGACAGAAGAUCCUUGCAGCUGAUCAAACAGAUCAUCGAUGCGCGGCAAAAGAUAUUUGUUCUUGAUGGUCACUUUAUUCAGAUCCCGAUAAUCCACACACAAUCUAAUUGAACCAUCAUUCUUUUUCACGAAUAACACCGGCGCUCCCCAAGGCGAUACACUGGGUCUAACAUACCCCUUAUCCAUCAAAUCCUGAAGCUACGCCUUCAGCUCUCUCAGCUCUGCUAGUGCCAUCUGGUAGGGUGCCUUCGAAAUUGACGCAGUUCUAGGAACUACGUAAAUCACAAACUCAAUCUCUCUGUCCGGCGGCAUAGUCGUCAACUCCGGGGAAAAAAAAUCCGAAAACUCGCGGACUAUAGGGAUAUCCUUGAGUCCCGGCGCCGCCGUAGGCACCUCUACUACAGUCGCCAAGAAAACGAUGCAUCCUCUACUCAACAGCUGUCUAGCCCUCGCAAACGAUAUCCAAGUGGCAAACAAUGUACUCCUGUAGCCCGUGUACGUGAACCCCUCCUGGCUUGGCUCGCAGAACGUCAUUGUCCUCGCUUCAUAGUCGAUCAUAGCAUAGUACCACGCCAGCCAAUUCAUACCAAGCACAACAUUAAAGUCUUGCAGCUGCCGUAAGACCAACGGGUAUGCGGGCAUAAUCCAAGAGCCCAACUGCAUUGGACACGACCAACAACACUCUACUACCUGCAAAACAUAGUCGAAAAUCUGCACCUCUCAUGCAUGCAACAACGGCCCUACGUCUUGCCCAUGCAAUAAUGCAAAUGCUCGGCUAACAAAAGAAUGUGAUGCACCAAUAUCAAAUAAGGUACGUACUCUAAUACCAGAAAUCAAAAUGAUACCUGCCACCACUCGGUCGGCUGCUGUAGAGUUCUCCACCUGAGCUGUAUACACUCUGCCACUCGAGGACUGCGGUCGCCGCUCACUCUGCCGCGGCACAGAUGCUCUGUCAUCCUGGCGGUAACACGGUGAUGCUCUAUAGGACUGCUGAGGUGUCGGCGGUGCUGACGUCAUCGAAGGUGCUGGUGAUGCUGCUCGGGGCCAAGCUGCCCUCAUAUAUCCAGGCUAUCCACAUGUGAAACAUCGGCCCUCUCGCUGCUCACACUGUCAGGGCCAGUGUGGUCCCCCACAAAUCACACACUGCGGAGUCCCCUGCGACUGUCUCUGCUGACGAGGUCCCCCAAAAUGUUGUCGCCCCGAAGACCCACGAUCCUAAGAGCAUGAUCGUGGAGGCCUCGGCGGACGCCUGCUGCUCGACUGUCCUCCAUCAUCUGGAAUCGGGCGCUUCCUAUCCUGAGUCUGCCCCGGCACCUGAGCCCACUCACGGAUCGAUACAUCUCCUCUCUCCACCUACAACGCCUGCUCAAUCGACGCAUCCAAGGCCUCAACCUCUGUGCUUGUACCAACCGGAAGAUCUCUGGCCUCAAGCCCCCCUCAUAAAGAUAUGCCUUGUAGGCUUCAUCCCUGACUACGACGGUACACAGUUCAGAAGCCGAGUAAACUCACGAGUAUACUCCUGAACUGAUCGCUCUCCCUGCUGUAGCUUCUUCAGAUCCUCUUCGAGUUUCUGCUUCACGCUGUUUGGGAAAUACGCCGCAUACAGCAUUUCGCAGAACUCAUCCCACUUCAUCUGUAACGCCACCAACCCUCGAGUCUACCUUAUCCUCCUCCACCAGGAGUGUGUAUCGCCGGCCAAAUAGUGUACUCCCAAAUGUACUCGUUCUCGCUCUGGUAUAAACAGGUCCUCGAACAACUUCUCCAUCGGGCUCACUUAGCCCUCUACAACCCAAGGCUCCGUGCAACUGCCAUCAAAACGCAGUGGAUCAAAUCGACGAAAACGAGCAAGCCUCUCUGUCAUCCACUCCCGCUCAGCCUCAGGCAUCUGCGACGCUUCUCCAUAGAAUGUGAUAGGCGCCGUAGGAACUGUGAUUGGUGGGGGUACAGCUGUGGCUGGUGCGGCCACUGGAGUAGUCCAUGGUGGAGCUAACUGCUCUGGUGCUCUAGGCGUUGUGCUCAGCGGCGGAGUAAAUAUCUCGCACAUCCUCUAUAACAGUGCCCCCCUGCUACCUCGUCGCCUCAAUUAGGGCAGCUAACUGCUCUCUCAUAUCAGGGGGUGCACUCGGCCCUGCCUGCUCAGGCAUCUCGUGUGGCGUGGCACGAUCCCGCAUCGACGGUCGACCUCGGCGUCGAUACAUGGCUACCUAAAACAAAAACAAGGGUCAGAUACAAAACACAAUCACUCUCGACCCAAUCAAGCGAAAGUCUAGAAGGCCGCCCAUGUUUCUCCUCAAAAUUAUACCGUCUGCAGCCAAUAUAAUUUUCUUAGUCGAAACAGACACUCCUUCAAUCACUCACUCCACUCAAGAAGGAGUUAAAACAAUUCAAUCGCUGACUUUCGCGAUAAAUCACGCCUCACGCCUCUCGCGUCUUCCCUUUCUAAGGUUUGCCAAGCUUAAGGUUUCCUAGGUCCCAACGACCUAAUACUAAACUCUGAUACCAACUUAAUCUGUCACGCCAGGCACGCCAACAGACCUGCCGUAUACAAAAAAAUUUACCAGGCAUACGAAGUGAUAGCUGUACCUUAAACAAAUCCAAGCUACAACCACAAGGUAAAGAGCUGCUAAACUGAAAAGUAAUAUAUAAAACUUCGAGGGGUUUCAAUCCAUACAAAAUGUUUACUACACCACUCGCUCCAGCAAGUACCCAGACAAAAACUAUAUGUACAUAAAUACCCCAAAACUACCUGUGGGAGGUACUCCUCUAGUACUGCAGCAAAUCUGGAAGGGAUCUAGCUCGCGACUCCCUUUCCACGAUCAGAAUCAGCAACAGCAACAGCCGCAGACGAAGGCUCUGCAAAAAGGGGUCAACAACUGGAUGUAAGAACUACUGCAAAAAGAAGUAGCCCUCAGUGGGUACCGCUACCGACCUCAACGGCUCACCCACUAACUUUACAGAAAGUAUGCACAAGGAUAGUAAAGGAUGCUUACAAAAUACUACAACUAUAUGCCACUAUACUAUCGCUAACCACUAUCUGUAGAUAAAAACUGCACUCUCUAUAUAGUAUCCUUGUUUGUUAUUGUGAGUUGGUAAAGGGCAUACUGGUCUUUGCCAAUCCUUAUCACCUCCACCGCCUUAAUUAAGGCGGCAAGCUGUGAGUUGGAGGAUUGCUAAUUAAUGUUGACUCUCAUUUCUCUCUCUAGAAUUGGAAUGUAAGUUGGAGGAGGAGCUCGGUGGAGUGCCGUUGGAGCUCGGAUUCGACGCCGACAUCGCGCCGCGAAGCCGUUCGAGGGUACAAUCGCCGCCGUAGCAUCGCGAGGAGGCCGGGCGAGGGUGUUUUUCCGCCGUUCUCGAUGUCGCGCCGGAUUGGAUUUAGCGAUCGAGGUGGGUUUAUCAUCGGAUUCUUACUUCUAGAGGCUUGUUGGUCGACAUGUAUAUUUCGGGUUUUCACGUACUUGUAUUAUAGCUCUAAUUCAUGACCGUUUCAUGUUUUGUUGAUUAGAAUGAGUUUAGAGCAUGAUUCUAAUUAUGGAUAAAUUAUGAAUAAGUUUAGAGCAUGAUUUUGAUUAUGGAUAAAUUAUACAUGUUGGACUCAGAUUUGACUUAGGAGAAAAUCCGCGAAUAACCUGUCAUUAUGCUUACACUACCAGAUUUAGCUCUAGGAGCCGUUAUAUUUUUGUAUCACCACAGUGUCAGUGUGGUGGAUACCCCAGGUAGUGUAGUCAGCUGUUAAGCUCGUGCUCGGAUGCCGAGCCUAUUUUUUUUCAGUAGCUUCAGAUUGUUCCGAAUUGUUGGGUGCUGUUGGGACUGACGGUGGACCCGGUUUGCCGUUUUGGCAUCAGAUUGCGCUGAGGGCGCGUGACUUUUGGUUGGUAGACCAGUUGAACCCAGUGUACUUGACUAUAGCCUGCGAGAGCCUUAUUGAGCUCGACAGAGAUGCGCUUGCAUACUCAAUUGGGUAGCGCCCACGAGUGCCACUCCGGAGUCGGGCCUAGUGCUGUUGCAUUGGUGUCGCUGUGUCCUGGUUGGACUUACUCUCCACUAACUACCCAGCGGGGGUGGUUGUAGUGUUGCUUCGGCAGGCGGAACGGGUGUAUCACAGUCCCUAAAUAGAUUGGGUCAGCAUUAAUAUUUUUACUACGGAUAAUUAGAGUAGAGCAUGAUAGUAUAGUGAUAUCUAGCUGUAGAUGUUUCCAGCUUUCCUACUAUCCCAGCUCCUUUCUGUAGACUUAGUGGGUGGACCGAUGAUUGUUGAGAGCGGCACCCACUGAGGACUACUUGUUUUUACAGUAGUUCUCGCGCCCAGUUGUUACCCUGUGUUUUGCAGAGCCUGCUGUUCUAGUUGCUGCGCCUUCCGAGGCUGAUCGAGGCAAGGGCGUCGCGAGUUAGAGCCCUACCCGACGAGUUGCUGAGAUAGAGGAUCCACCACUGCAGGUAGUUUCGGUUUAUUUUGUUGAGUUCAUGUACAUACAGUUGUUAUAACUCGCUGGAGGGAGUACCUUUGUAUAGCGUUUUGUUGUAUGUAUGUGAGACUUGUUUUAUCCUACCUGUUUGGUUUCUUUACAGCUCUAUACUACUACUUGUAGUAUUGUAUAUUUUCAGUUAUCAAUACGCUUCGUAUACAGGGAAAAUUCUUUGUAUACGACGGAUUUGUCGACGUGCCCGGGAAUUGUGUAAUCCGGGGCGUAACAGAUUAAAUUGGUAUCAGAGCUUAGUAUUAAGUCGUUGGGACCUAGAAAACCUAAGUUUGGCAAACCUUAGGAAGGCAAGACGCGAGAGGCGUAAUUUAUUACGAAAGUCAGUGAUUAAUUGUUCUAACUCCUCCUAGAGUGGGGUGAGUGAUUGAAGGAGUGCCUAUUUUGGCCUGAGAAAUUAUGUUCGCUGCAGACUACAUAAUUUUACGGAAAGAUAGGUGCCGCCUUCUGGACUUUCGUCGAUUGGGUCAAGAGUGCUUAUGUUUAUCUGACCCUGCUUUUCUUUUUGCAGCUAUGUAUCGUCGUCGAGGCCGACCGUCGACACGGGAUCGGGCACAGUUGGCACAGGAUCGUGUGGGACCUUCUGAGAUGCCUGAGCAGGCGGAGCCGAGUGCCCGGCAAGAGCAGGGUGUUCGACCGGAGGCGAGUGCAUCCUCGGGCUUGACUGCACAGUUGGCCGUCCUGACCGAGGUGACGAGGCGGCAGGGGGAGUUGUUGGAGAGGAUGUGUGAGAGGUUAGCUUCGCCCCAGAGUUCAGCACCGAGGGCACCAGAGUCGUCUGUUCCACCUCCGACUACUCCAGUGGCAGCACCAGUUGCAGCAGUACCUCCGCCAGCAGCCGUUCCAGUAGCACCAGUUGCGCCUGCUUGGGGGCCAAUACAGUUGACAGAGGCCGAGCAGGAGCGAUGGACGGAGAGGUUUGCUCGUUUUUGCCGUUUUGAUCCACCGAUUUUCGAUGGCAGUUGCACUGAGGCCUGGGUUGUUGAGGGAUGGGUCAGUGCGAUGGAGAAACUAUUUGAGGAUCUGUUCAUUCCUAAGGGGGAGCAGGUGUCUUUGGGAGUCCAUUGUUUGGCAGGUGAUGCCCACGCCUGGUGGAGGAGAGUGAGAAGAGAGCAGGGACUGGUAGCGUUGCAGUUGAGAUGAGAUGAGUUCUGUGGAAUGCUGUUUGGGAUGUUCUUUCCCAACAGUGUGAAACAGAAGCUCGAGGAGGAUUUGAAGAGGAUUCAGCAGGGGGAUCGUCCAGUGCAGGAGUACAUUCGAGAGUUUACUCGACUCCUGAACUGUGUGCCAUUUGUGGCCAGGGACGAGACACAUAGGGUCUAUCUGUUUGAGCAGGGGCUAAGACCUGACAUUUUCAGGUUAGCGCGGAUGCAGAGGUCGAGGACUCUGGAUGCGUCCAUAGAGCAGGCCUUGUGGGUGGAGAGAGGUGAGGUGUCAUUGCAGGAGAGGACUCAGGCCGUGGGGCAGAGUCAGGACAGGAAGCGCCCCUUUUCAGAUGAUGCUGGACAGUCGAGUAGCAGGCGUCCGCCGAGGCCUCCACGAUCACGCUCUCAGGGUCGUGGGUCUUCGGAACGUCAGCGUUCUAGGGGAUCCCAUCAGCAGGGGCAGACUCAGAGGACACCGCAGUGUGUGAUCUGCGAGGGGCCACACUGGCCCCGGCAGUGCGAGCAGAGAGAGGGCCGUUGCUACCCUUGCGGUCAGCCAGGACAUAUGAGGUCAGCUUGUCCCCGUGCAGCAUCACCAGCGCCAUCCACUGCAUCAGUGCAGCCGGCAUCUCAGCCGUCCUUUGGAGCAGCACCGAGUUUCCGCCAGGAGGAUAGAUCGUCUAUGCCGCGUCAGGACGAGUGGCGACAGCAGGCUCCGAGCAACAGGGUCUAUGCAGCCUAGGUGGAGGACUCUACAGUGGCCGACCGAGUGGUGGCAGGUAUCACUUUGAUUUCUGGCAUUAGAGUUCAUACUCUCUUUGAUACCGGUGCAUCUCAUUCGUUUGUUAGCCGAGCAUUUGCAUUGUUGCAUGGUCUAGAGUUAGGAGCCUUGUCUCAGGCACGAGAGGUGCAGAUCCCAGACCAUACUUUACAGGUUGCGGAGUGUUGUUGGUCGUGUCCCGUGCAGUUGGAUUUGUGGAUCAUGCCCGCAGACUUGUUGGUUUUAGGGCAGCUGCAGGACUUCGACGUUGUGCUCGAUAUGGAUUGGUUGGUCCGGUACUUUGCUACGAUUAAUUGUGGAGCGAGGACAGUGACGUUCCGUGAGCCAGGCCAGGAGGAAUUUACUUUUAGAGGCUGCAGGAGUACACUGUUUGCCACUUGGAUAUCUUCGGCGAGGACUCGACAGCUGAUGAGUAGAGGAUGUGUUGCCUUUCUGGCGACUGUUGUUGAGGUACCUACGGCGGCGCCGGGACUCGAGGAUAUUCCUGUAGUCCGCAAGUUUCCAGAUGUGUUUUCCCCUGAGUUGACGACGAUGCCGCCGGAGAGGGAGAUUGAGUUUGUGAUUGAUGUAGUUUUUGGAACUGCACCAAUCUCAAAGGUACCUUAUCGGAUGGCACCGGCAGAGCUGAGAGAGCUAAAGUCGCAGCUUCAGGAUCUAAUGGACAAGGGGUAUGUGAGACCCAGUGUGUCACUUUGGGGAGCGCCGGUGUUAUUUGUAAAGAAGAAGGAUGGUUCGCUCAGGUUAUGUGUGGAUUACCGGGAGCUAAAUAAAUUGACCAUCAAGAACAAAUAUCCACUGCCGCGCAUUGAUGAUUUGUUUGAUCAGUUGCAGGGAUCCUUCGUCUUCUCGAAGAUUGAUCUUCAGUCCGGUUACCACCAGCUGAGGGUGAGGGCCGAAGAUAUUUCCAAGACGGCUUUUCGGACUCGGUACAGGCAUUAUGAGUUUACGGUCAUGCCUUUUGGAUUGACGAAUGCCCCUGCCGCAUUCAUGGAUUUGAUGAACAGGGUGUUCAAGCCGUUCUUGGAUAGAUUUGUGGUAGUCUUCAUCGAUAAUCUUCAUCGAUAACAUUCUGAUUUACUCUCGUAGUGAUGCUGAGCAUGAGGAGCACUUGAGGAUUGUGCUACAGCUUCUGCGAGAGAAGAAGUUAUAUGCCAAGUUAAAGAAGUGUGAGUUUUGGUUGCGGAAAGUUGCUUUCUUGGGCCACGUGAUUUCUGCAGAGGGAGUGGCAGUAGACCCGAAGAAGAUUGAUGCUAUUCAGGGUUGGCCUAGACCGACGACGGUGACAGAGGUGAGGAGUUUCCUUGGGCUAGCAGAAUAUUAUCGUCGGUUUGUGGAAGGCUUUGCGAAGCUUUCCGCACCCCUUAUUAUUUUGACAUGGAAAGGGAUUCGGUUUGUUUGGAGUGAGGACUGCCAGAGGAGCUUCGACGAGUUUAGACAGAGAUUGAUGACAGCUCCUAUCCUUGCCCUUCCUGUGAUGGGGGAAGGAUUUGUGAUCUAUAGUGAUGCAUCGCACAACGAACUGGGUUGUGUGCUGAUGCAGUAUGGUAGGGUGAUUGCUUAUGCUUCACGGCAGUUAAAGGAUUAUAAGAAGAAUUACCCUACGCAUGAUUUGGAGCUUGCAGCGGUAGUCUUUGCUUUGAAGUUGUGGCGGCAUUAUUUGUAUGGCGAGCACUGCGAGGUUUUCACCGAUCAUAAAAGUCUCAAGUAUCUAUUCACUCAAAAGGAAUUGAAUCUGAGGCAGCGCCGGUGGCUAGAGCUACUGAAGGACUAUGACAUUAGUAUUCAGUAUCAUCCCGGCAGGGCGAAUGUAGUGGCAGAUGUGUUGAGCAGGAGGGCAGCGGAGAGCUUGAGCUUGUUGAUCACUCAGCAGAGACCGCUACUUAAGGAGCUACAGCGACUGAGGCUUGAGGUGGUGUCUCCUGGGUCUACUGCAAGACUGAUAACUCUCGUCUUGCAGCCCACUCUAUUGGAUAGGAUCCGAGAAAAACAGAAUGGAGAUCUGCAUUUGUUGAGGAUUCGAGAGCAGUUAAUUAGGGGACAGGCCGAGGGUUUUGGUUUGGACAGCUCGGGAGUACUGCGGUACAGGGAGCGACUGUGUGUGCCUGUGGAUUCAGAGAUCCGAGAGGACAUCUUGAGGGAGGCUCAUUGUACACCUUAUACGGUUCACCCUGGGGGAACCAAGAUGUAUAAGGACUUGAAGAUCCAGUUUUGGUGGAAUGGAACGAAGAGGGACAUUGGCAGGUUUGUGGCUCAGUGUCUGACUUGUCAACAGGUAAAGGCCGAGCAUCAGGUACUUGCUGGCAAGUUUCAGAGUUUGUCAGUGCCCGAGUGGAAAUGGGAACAGAUGGCGAUGGAUUUCGUUGUGGGGUUGCCUAGAGCACAGGGUGGCUUCGAUGCGAUUUGGGUGAUAGUGGACAGACUGACCAAGUCUGCUCACUUCCUACCAGUUCAGACCACCUGGUCCAGAGAGAGACUCGCGCAGCUUUACUUGGAUGAGAUCGUCAGGCUACAUGGUGUGCCAGUAUCGAUUGUAUCAGACCGAGACCCGAGAUUUGUGUCGCAUUUCUGGAGGAGUUUACAGACAGCUUUGGGGACUCAGUUACAUUUCAGCACAGCAUUUCACCCACAGACGGAUGGUCAGUCGGAGUGGACCAUUCAGACUCUAGAGAACAUGCUGAGGGCGUGUGUCCUGGACUUCGGAGGAGGGUGAUAUCGACACUUGAGACUAGCAGAUUUUGCGUAUAACAACAGCUAUCAAACGAGCAUUCAGAUGGCUCCGUUUGAGGCGUUGUAUGGACGCAGAUGUCGAUCCCCGUUGUUUUGGAGUGACGUGGGUGAGAGGAGGACACUUGUGCCUGAGAUUUUGCUAGAGGCUGAGAAAAAGGUGAGAGUUGUUCGACGACACCUUUUGACAGCUCAGAGCCGCCAGAGGAGCUACGCCGAUACCAGGAGACGAGACUUGCAGUUUCAGGUUCGAGAUCAUGUUUUUCUUAAAGUCUCGCCGUCGAGAGGGAUUCGCCGAUUUGGAGUGCGUGGAAAGCUCAGUCCACGUUUCGUUGGCCCUUUUGAGAUAUUGGAGCGAGUUGGACCAAUUGCUUACCGGAUUGCUCUACCACCCCGACUAGCUGGGAUUCAUGAUGUGUUCCACGUCUCGGCACUGAGGAGAUAUGUUUUCGAUCCUUCUCACGUGAUUGACUUCACUCCACUAGAGAUUGGCGAGGACCUGAGAUACAAGGAGCGACCGGUGCGGAUUCUUGCUCGCGAGACGAAAGAAUUGUGCAACCGGGUCAUCCCGUAUGUAAAAGUGCAGUGGAGCAAUCACGAGGAGCAGGAGGCGACUUCGGAGCAAGAAACAGUGAUGAGGGAGUCCUACCCCGACCUGUUCGUUGCCCCGUCUUGAGGUAUGUUUUAAGUUUCGAGGACAAAACUUUUUGUAGUAGGGGAGGAUAUAGUAUCCUUGUUUGUUAUUGUGAGUUGGUAAAGGGCAUACUGGUCUUUGCCAAUCCUUAUCACCUCCACCGCCUUAAUUAAGGCGGCAAGUUGUGAGUUGGAGGAUUGCUAAUUAAUGUUGACUUCGUUUCUCUCUCUAGAAUUGGAACGUGAGUUGGAGGAAGAGCUCGGUGGAGUGCCGUUGGAGCUCGGAUUCGACGCCGACAUCGCGCCGCGAAGCCGUUCGAGGGUACGAUCGCCGCCGUAGCAUCGCCAGGAGGCCGGGCGAGGGUGUUUUUCCGCCGUUCUUGACGUCGCGCCAGAUUGGAUUUAGCGAUCGAGGUGGGUUUAUCAUCGGAUUCUUACUUCUAGAGGCCCGUUGGUCGACAUGUAUAUUUCGGGUUUUCACGUACUUGUAUUAUAGCUCUAAUUCAUGACCGUUUCAUGUUUUGUUGAUUAGAAUGAGUUUAGAGCAUGAUUCUAAUUAUGGAUAAACUAUGAAUGAGUUUAGAGCAUGAUUUUGAUUAUGGAUAAAUUAUACAUAUUGGACUCAGAUUUGACUUAGGAGAAAAUCCGCGAAUAACCUGUCGUUAUGCUUACACUACCAGAUUUAGCUCUAGGAGCCGUUAUAUUUUUAUUUCGCCACAGUAUCAGUGUGGUGGAUACCCCAGAUAGUGUAGUCAGCUGUUAAGCUCGUGCUGGGAUGCCGAGCCUAUUUUUUUUUCAGUAGCUUCAGAUUGUUCCGGAUUGUUGGGUGCCGUUGGGACUGACGGUGGACCCGGUUUGCCGUUUUGGCAUCAGAUUGCGCUGAGGGCACGUGACUUUUGGUUGGUAGACCAGUUGAACCCAGUGUACUUGACUAUAGCCUGCGAGAGCCUGAUUGAGCUCGACAGAGAUACGCUUGCAUACUCGGUUCAGUAGCGCCCACGAGUGCUAUUCCGGAGUCGGGCCUAGUGCUGUUGCGUUGGUGUCGCUGUGUCCUGGUUGGACUUGCUCUCCACUAACUACCCAGCGGGGGUGGUUGUAGUGUUGCUUCGGCAGGCGGGAUGGGUGUAUCACAGUCCCUAAAUAGAUUGGGUCAGCAUUAAUAUUUUUACUACGGAUAAUUAGAGUAGAGCAUGAUAGUGUAGUGAUAUCUAGCUGUAGACGUUUCCAGCUUUCCUACUAUCCCAGCUCCUUUCUGUAGACUUAGUGGGUGGACCGAUGAUUGUUGAGGGCGGCACCCACUGAGGACUACUUGUUUUUACAGUAGUUCUCACGCCCAGUUGUUACCCUGUGUUUUGCAAAGCCUGCUGUUCCGGUUGCUGCGCCUUCCGAGGCUGAUCGAGGCAAGGGCGCCGCGAGUUAGAGCCCUACCCGACGAGUUGCUGAGAUAGAGGAUCCACCACUGCAGGUAGUUCCGGUUUAUUUUGUUGAGUUCAUGUACAUACAUUUGUUAUAACUCGCUGGAGCGAGUACCUUUGUAUAGCGUUUUGUUGUAUGUAUGUGAGACUUGUUUUAUCCUACCUGUUUGGUUUCUUUACAGCUCUAUACUACUGGUUGUAGUAUUGUAUAUUUUCAGUUAUCGAUACGCUUCGUAUACAGAAAAAAUUCUUUGUAUACGGCGGAUUUGUCGACGUGCCGUGGAAUUGUGUAAUCCGGGGCGUAACACUCUAACUCAAUCUCAUUAGGGACUGUGAACACACCCGUCCCGCCUGUCGAAGCUACACCAACCACCACCACGCUAGAUUGUCGAUGCAGAGCAAGUCGAACCAGAACACUACGACAUCAACGCAAAAGCAUUGAGCCCGACUCCGGAGCGACACUCGUGGGCGCUACCCAACCGAGUAUGUAAGCAUAUCUCUGACGAGCUCAAUCAGGCUCUCACAGGCUAUAAUCAAUGCAAAUAGGUCUAACUAGUCUAACAACCAAAGCUCAUGUGACCUUGGCACAAUCUGAUACAAAUACAAAAAUCUGGGUCCACCGUCAACCGCGACGGUACCCGACAGUCCGAAACAGUCUAUACACUAUUGUAAAAUAAGCUCGGCAUCCCAGCACGAGCGUAAACUCAUCCUAUACUAAUCUGGGUAUCCACCGCAUACGAACAGCUGCGAUACAAACGAACCACAGCUCCUGAAGCUAAAUCUGGUAAUUUUCAAAAAGUGACAAUAUAGGAUCUAUAUAUUUUCUCCUAAGUCAAUUCCAAGUCCAACAUGUAAAAUUAUACUACUAUCUUAACUCCAAAUUUAGAUUUUAUCUCUAAUAUCCAUGAAUUCGAGUACUAGCAAGAAAAUAACCAAAUGAAACAUGUCGACGAUAUAAGAACUUAGGAGGUAUUUCGGCGAUUUCGGUGAACUUCAACUCAACUCGAAAAGCUCGUCCAACUACGGUGAGAAGUCGAAAGAAGGGGAAACCACGCGCUCGCUCGGUCUCCAACGGCGCAACUGCGACGCAAGCACGCUCGAACGGCUCUCCGGAUCAACGUCGAAAAUCUCUCGAGCUCGAGUUGCGAUCUCCACCUCAAACGCGAUCAAAAACUAGAGGGGGAGAGAGAGCAGCAAACAAAACCACUUCUCAAUGCUCUCAGCAAGUAUAUAAGGCUGAGGAUAAGGUUGAAAGUAUCGAUACUUCAAAUGACCAAAAGACCCCUCACGAACUCAAAAUUUCAGCUGGAGUAUCGAUAUCCGAUUUGGUUACCGGUACUUGGCCUCUUAGCCCGCAAGCUCGCACACCGGGUACCGGUACCAACCCGAUGCUGCAUCGGUACUUAGCAUCAAUUGGCGCAACCCGAGAGCAUGCUGUCGAGGAUUUACAGUGGGGUACCGGUACUCCCCUACAUGGUACCGGUACUCAAUACUGAGAAUCUGCACUUUGCAUAUUCCAAUGUUAAAACUCUGCUCUCGUGUCGCACUUAGUCCGUUUUGCAUCUAUUUCACGCCAAAACGAUUCCGACUUGUCCCAACACUCUCCAGAUGUGUUAACAAGCCUCAGAUGCUGAAAUCUCACUAGCAACCAACCACCAGGGAUACUACAAUUGUAUAUAUUAUGCAAUGAUGUAAAUUUGAGCCAUACAUAAGGGCAAACUUGGCAUUUUGGAAAAUCAAAAUCUUUCGAAGGUAUUCUAGGGAUAAAAAAGUUUGUCCCUUAUAGCAUUAUCGCAUUUCCAAACGCAGCCUUAGGGUUUAGUAGUCCCCUUUGGGAAUUAAUAUUAAUUCAAGGGCCAAAAAUAGUCUGGGGGUUGAUCCAACAGUUAAAAAAGUCGAAAGCACCAACUAUUUUAUGCUUUCGGAAGCACCAUAUAUACUCGGACUCUUAGUUGACUAUAUACAAAGAAGUAAAAAUAUAAACAAACAAUUUAAAUCAAAAAAUUUAAGGUUAAAUUUAUAUCUAGAAUUCAAAAUUAAAUUUUAAAAUUUAAAUUUAAACUUAAAUGUGAGUUGAAUUUAUAAUUAAAAAUUAAGACAUAACUGAAAUUAAAUUUACAAUUUUAAUUUGAAGUUUAAGAUACAAUUCAUAACUGAAAUUAAAUUCUAAAAAUCAAAUUUGAACAUAAAAAAUAAAAUAUUAAUUCAAAUUUGAAUUCAUAAUUUGAACAUAUGAUUCGAAUUAAAUUUUAAUUUAAUAUUUGAUCUCAAAUUUUGAAUUUAAAUAUGAACUCAAAUUUCAAUUAAAAUUUAAAUUAAAAUAAAAGUUUGAGUUUAAAUCAUAAUUCAAAUUGAAUAUUUGAAUUCAUAAUUCAAAUUCGAAACUCAUUUUGAAAUUAAAUUCAAAAUGUGUUUCCACAACUCUACCACCCGGCCAAUCCUUCUUACAAACUUAAAUUCAACGUUGAGUGUCAACUUAAUUAAAAAUUUAAACUUUGAAUUCAUGCUUCAAUAAAUAAUUUGAAGCUAUAGUUUGGAAUAAUUUGAAUUCAAAGUUCAAAUUGAAGUUCUUAGGUAAAAUAAUUUGAUUAAAAUUUUAAUUUAAAUAUUUUAAUUUAUAUUUUAAUUUAAAAAUUCAAACUAGAAUUCAAAUUUAAAUAAAAAUUAAAUUUUAAAAUUUAAAUUUAGAUAUAAAUUCACAAAUCUAAAUUUAGAAAUUUUGUGUUAAAUUUAAAUUUACUAAUAAAAUUCAUAAUGUGAAAUUAAAUUCAUAAUUUCAAUUCAAAUUUAAGUUGAAAUUCAAUUUUAAAAAUAAAUUCAUAGAAUAAAGUUAAGACCAAAUAUAAUCUUUUGAAUAAGCUUUUCAUUUUCAGCGGCGUCAAACUUUUUUGAGCCAAAGUCUAAAGACGAAGUUAUAACUUAUUUUAUUAAUCCACUUUUAUAAAAUAACUUUCAUAUUUAUUUUUACAAAUCAAACAAUCUAUAAGACGUCACUUUCCAAAAACAUUAUUUCGAUGUUUUACUUUCGGCUAGCCAAACAAGCAAAAAAAAGUUAUAUGGAAAGCUACUUUAGAAAGGACUAAAAUGUUGGAUUGACAUUGUUUAAAUCUUUUACGCCGAGAGACAUUUGAGACACAGGGCAAAGUACAUGGGACAUUUUUGCAACCAAGCCAAAAUUAUAAAAUUUAUAUGCAAAAGAUUCAUGAUGGAUCUUAUAGUCUCGCCGCAUUUUCUUAUUUAUUCUUUAUUACUAUUUCAAAAUUUUUAGAUUUAUCAUAAAAUUAUCAAAAUACGUUUCUAAAACUCAGUUCCAUUAGUAAACCCUAGAAAAAAUAGAGAUAUUUGAAGAAUUUUUUUUCCAAAAUUAACAAGUUUAUUUUGGUCCUCUAAGAAUAAAUAAAUUAUUUUUGAAGUUUUGAAGGGUAUAUUAGAUAUUUUUUUAAAAAAAAUUUCCUACGAGUGUCAAACGGGCCGGAUGGCUCGCGGGUCGGCCUUGUUCGCGCACGGCCCCCCACAGCAAAACCCAUAUGGGCCCUCCCUAACAAGCCGGCUCGGCUCGGCUCGGCUCGGCUCACACCUUCUUUCUUUUUAUUAUUUUAAUAUUUUUAAAAAAUAUAAAUAAAUCUAUUUUAAAAUUUAUUUAAAAUAUAUAUAUGUGUGUGAAUUGAAUAUAUGUUUAAUAGUAAUAAUAUGAAAUGUUUAACUUAAAUUUAAAAAAUUUAAAUAAUUCAUAAAACCUUUAAAAAAAAAAAGAAAAAAAAGAAAGAAAACUUUGUGCCUUGAAAGUUGGAUAACGCCUAAGUCCCAAUAAAAAAAGGAGUAAGGUCCCGUGAGGUAUAGUUAUUAUUUUUUAUUUUAUUAAAUACUAAUUCUAAUAUAAUUUGAUAUGUUAGGAAAAAAAAAAUUACUAUUAUUGUUGGUUAGCUUAUAAUACAUCGGGCUAAAUAUAAAUCACAGCUUCUUGUAAAAAAUUUUAAAAGUAAAAAAGUUUUAUUUUCAAGUUUUUAUUUUUGUUUUCAAAUAAAUACUUUAGAUUAACAGAUUAUUUACAAUCAACAAUCAGAUUAUUUCCAAUAGUCAGAUUAUUUAGACAAAUUUUUUAUUUUAAAAAAAAUACUUUUGGACCAAAAUAUUCCCUAAUAGUCAGAAAAAAAAAAAAAAAAAAAAAAAAAAAAAGCUGACUAUUGGAAGUUUUGUCUUUUUAUUUUUUAUUAUUAUUAUUUUAAAAUUAUAAAUAAUAAAAGUUUAAAAAAAUAAUAAUAAAAGAAAUAUAAUGAGACGGCACGAGGGUCUGCCCGGGUCAGCUCGGGCUGUGCUGCCCGGGCCGAGGGGCCAUGCUGGACCAAGUCUAGGAAAUCCGACCCGACCUGGUGCUAUUGGAUAUUAUCCGACCCGACCCGCGACUAAAAAUUUUCGGAUGCGGAUUAAGUUAUACUAUGCAACUCAGAAUCCGGAUACGGAUUAGAACUGUACUGUCCAACUCGAUUUUUGCUAUGAUAUUUUGGUAAUCCAGCUCGCUAUUUGUGAGCAAGCUCAUGUUCGGCUAGAAAUCAGCUUGAAAUCGAUCGCUAAUAUAAUAAACGAGCCCAAUAUGAACUGGAAUUAGCUCACUCCUGUUGGAGAAUAAUUGGGGGACGAUGGACACAAGACACCUGAUGUAGCUUUUCGAUCACUUGUUUAAUAAACGAGCCGAACACAAGUUGAGAUCAACUUGCUCCUAUUCGACUCAUGUUCGACUAGAAAUCAGCUUGAAAUCGAUCACUAAUAUAAUAAACGAGCCGAACACGAACUGGAAUUAGCUCACUCCUGUUGGAGAAUAAUUGGGGGACGAUGGACACAAGACACCUGAUGUAGCUUCUCGAUCACUUGUUUAAUAAACGAGCCGAACACAAGUUGAGAUCAACUUGCUCCUAUUCGACUCAUGUUCGGCUAGAAAUCAGCUUGAAAUCGAUCACUAAUAUAAUAAACGAGCCGAACACGAACUGGAAUUAGCUCACUCCUGUUGGAGAAUAAUUGGGGGACGAUGGACACAAGACACCUGAUGUAGCUUCUCGAUCACUUGUUUAAUAAACGAGCCGAACACAAGUUGAGAUCAACUUGCUCCUAUUCGACUCAUGUUCGGCUAGAAAUCAGCUUGAAAUCGAUCACUAAUAUAAUAAACGAGCCGAACACGAACUGGAAUUAGCUCACUCCUGUUGGAGAAUAAUUGGGGGACGAUGGACACAAGACANGGUGAGUUGGGAUACUCUGGUGAUGGUAGGAGUGGCGUGGAAAAAAGUAGAUUCCCGGCUUUUGAAUUAACGUGGUUAAUGAACCACAAUAAUUAUCAUAUUAUCGGAUCAAGAUUUAUAUAUAACCAAACAACUUAUGAUACUAAAUUGCCCAUCUUUAUUAGUUUUCCCAUCCGGAUUACCAUCUUUUAAACCAUUACGGUUUGCGAAUUACGAUAACUAUCAUAUCAUCGGUCUGAGAUAUAUAUAUAUAUAUAUAUAUAUAUAUAUCUCAGCUUAUCCUCGCUCAACUAGAGUUGAACACAAGCCGAGCAAAUAAUAUAAUCACUAGCUAAAGUUCGACUAAAGAUCGGCUUGUACUCAGCUUAUCCUCGCUCAACUAGAGUUGAACACAAGGUGGUUGGUUGAAUAGUAUGAUUUAACGGGUGAAAAUAAUCAAGGCGGUAAAAUCUAGUGGCGGAAAACUUGAUAGCAACAUGCAUUUGGUAUUAUUGAUAGUAUAAUAGCUAGAAUAUAUAUAUAUAUAUAUAUAUAUAUAUAUAUAUAUAUAUAUAUAUAUAUAUAUAUAUAUAUAUAUAUAUAUAUAUAUCAAUUAUUAGAUUUAAAUUUUAAUUUCUAAUUUUCUUUCAAAUUUUCAUCUAGUAGUGCUAAAAAAUUUGACUUUGCUGUUUGCAAGUGAGCUUAUGGUCUGCUCAUUAAUAAACAAAUCGAACACAAGCUGAAUUUUUCAACUCGAUAUUUUAACAAGCCAGCUGGUUUUCGACUCGUUUUAAUCGAACACAAUCUAAUCCCGGCUCAGUUGUGUUCGGCUCAUUGACGGCCCUAGUUUUCAAAAAAUAACAUUCAUGUUAAAAUCCAUAUUUCAUAUUAUUUUUUAAAAUUUCUUUUCUACAUUUUUCUUUAUUAUAAAUUAAAAAAAUAUGGAUAAUUAUAUUUUGCUUCCAGUUCUAUAUAUUUCUUAAAUAUUCAAUUCAUACUCGUAUCCGAUUAAUACCCAACCCGAAUCCUAACCUAUUUUUAUCGGAUAUGGAUUUGAGUGCUAGUAUCUAAUCAAUAUCCCAAUCCAUAUCCGAAUCUGACAUAAAAAUAUGAAUACGAAUCAUAUCCGACCCGUUUUUCAUCCCUACCAGCCCGACCCGGCCCAAAUUUGAAGCCGGCUGGGCCAGACGGGCCCUCAGUCUGGUUCAGCCCGGGCAAAUGCCGACUGUACAGUCCCAGCUCGGCCCACAUUACACACCAACUGCCACUGUCGUGGCCUGCAGGCACGCUGUGUCAAACAAUUGAACAUUUCAUUGCUCUAAACAAUUGAGCGUUUCACAUUGUUAAACCUGAGUACAUCUGAAACAUUGUUUUAGUUUUGCCAUAAGAGCAUGCCCUUCACGGGGAGGGCAAAGAAUUGAAACUAGUAACUCAAAGAGAAAAUACAGAAAAAUAUGUACCAAAGAAUUCACCUAAGAUUAUUCCAAAUAUACAAAGAUGGAUUGAAUUAAUUGUUACAGACAAAAUAGAUCAGUCCUCUCGCGAAUUUUAAUCAGAAAAAGAAGUAAUAAAACAUAGAAUGGCAUGGAGAAACUAACUUGGAGAAUUUUGCUAGGCUUCUUGAUUCUGUACACCUGAUUAUGAUGCAGUACUUGUCGUACAGUGGGCGUUGAGCCAAGAGAUGAUGUCGUCGAGGACACUGAAUAUCGUCUCGUCGGGCUCACCUUCAAGAAGGGAAUGGUAUGCAUCUUUGUAUAGGCAUAGCUUCUUGUCCGAGCUGCUCGCCUUCUCGUAUAGAGCCUUGCUCACUGAAGGAUCCGUCACGAGGUCGGCCUCUCCGUGUAGAAUUAUUAGCGGUAAUGAUACCUGAAAGAGGAAAAGGAGCUAUGUUUCAGUUUUCAGUACUCCAGCAUCUAGAGAUGAAUCCUAUUGUCCAAACCAGCAAACGCGAAUCGUUUACUUCUGAUCGCUAAUAUGCUGAGAUACUUCGUCUCCAAUAUCCAAAGAAAUACUACCACACUGCUGCCGCAAGGCCCACAACUGCUUCCACAACCACCUCUUGUUUCAAAAUCAUCCUCGCUGCUACAACUGUUGCCGCUAUCAUCAUUACAAACAACACUGGCGGCUAGUGAUGUUGCCAUCAUAAUACGUCUCUACCAACAUCACAACUAGUGAGCACGUCUAUUGCUGUUAUCGCCGUUACCACCGACCAUACAGCAGAGCUAACACUGCUAGCAUCAUAACCACCAUAGCUGUCGCAACCACAACCCACUGAUGUCCACCAUUCCUGCCAGUGAUACAAAUGAUGCCACCACAAAUGCGCACUAACAAUGACACUGACCGUCACUAGAGCAAGUGGCAAAAGGCUUUGUGGUUGGUACCCGAGACCCAUGUUCGAAUCCUAGUUGAUUCACAUUUCUAGCUAAGUUUAUUUCUAAACGAAAUAAACGAAGCAGGUAAGCGUGCUACCUAUCUCUCAAAAAAAAAAAAACAAUGACAUAAAGACCAUUAUGAACACCACCACAAGCACUACCAUUAUUUUCAAUCAUGUUGCCACCACCUUUGCAACUACCAUUGCCGCUCAACAGUUGUAUUGCUUCUACAAUCACAAAAUCUGACAAGAUUUACUUAUAUUUCUAACUUCAACAAAACAAACGAUACCGACGGGAAUAAGCCAUUUAAUUUCGGUUGCAACUAAGAACCAAAUGCACUGGUGAAUUGUUCACUCGGAUUCCCAUUUCCUCAUUGCAAACCUAAUGCGCCAAAAUGAAGGUUUUCUAUUUUUGAUUCAAUCCAUCUGAAAUUCAUCAUUUUUGUUCUCAUCACCGUUGUCAAUAAGAAAACAGAACUUGUCGUGAUACUAAAGAUAUAUAUAAUUUUUGAAUUUAAAAUACUCAUAUUAUGAAGAAAUCGAAUUUUCGAAGUAUGUAACACGUAUUCAGUACACGUCUAACGAGUAUUACUGUAUGAUUUGUGUAUAAUGGGUGCCUUAUUAGUUAUGUUAAAUUUACUUUUUAUCUUAGGGGGGGGUUUGGUUCGGCGUAAAACGAACCGAAAAAUUGUUUUCAGUAUGAAAAAUGCUUUACCACUUGUUUGGUUCGAUGUAAAAAUAUUUUCCCGUAAAAGUAUAUUUACAGAUUUGAUAAAAAUUGUUCUUAUUUUUCACUGUUUUUUAGCAGAAAACAAAAACUCAAGAUACGUAAAACUUUUUCCAUUCAUUUUUUUUUUCACCGGACCAAACAAAUGUGAAUAUUUUUUUCCUUUCAACCAAACAAAUGUUGAUGGAAAACUACUAUUUUUUUUUUUUACAAACCAAACACUACAAAAAGUAAAACUUUUUUUCCACAGAAAUUUUUUUUCCAUGGAAAAUUAUUUUUCACGGUUUUACGUUGAACCAAAUGGAUCCUUAGGGUGUGUUUGGUUCCUCGUAAAAAUUGCCCAAAAAUGUUUAUCGGCCUGAAAAAUAAUUUUCUGAAUGUUUGGUUGAACAUAAAAUAAUUUUUCACGGAAACAUAUUUUACAGAUUUGGGUGAAAACUUGGGUUUUUGUUUUCCGCUUCUUUACGCGAAAACGAAAACUAGUUCCUCAAAAACACGCUGCUCAUGGAUUGUAUAGUCGCGGUCCACGAGAAAGGCCGAUUCUCGUGGACCGCGUGAGAGGUCCCACUAUGGACCUCUCUGUCCAGAUGCACCUAUGGCCUUUCUUCUGAUAAUUGUUAUAUAUAUAUAUAUAUAUAUAAUUGAGCCGAAAUACUAUUAAUAGUAUUGGGGCUAUUUUGCUAUCGAGUUUUUAACCCUUGGGUAAAAAAUUAUAGGGUUAGGCUGAUAGUGGUCCCCUAGGGUUUAGUAAUGGUCCCCCUAAGGCUGAGUGGGUGGUUGGUUGAUUAAUAUGAUCUAAAAGGUGAAAUUGAAUAAAGUGUAGAUUUGACGGCUAAAAAAUCGAUAGCAAAAGAGUCUGAAUACUAUUAAUAGUAUUCUAACUCAACUCUAUAUAUAUAUAUAUAUAUAUAUGAACUAGGCUGGAAUACUAUCAAUAGCACCAAGCUAUUGGUGCUAUUGAUUUUUUAGCCCUUGGAUUGAGAAAUGUGUGGUUAGGAUGAUGUGGGCCCCCCAGGGUUGAGUGAGUGGUUGGUUGAAUAGUAUAAUCUAACGGGUAAAAAUAAUCAAAGGGUUAAAUCUAACGGUGGAAAACUCAAUAGCACCAAAUCCUUAGUGCUAUCGAUAGUACCCCAGCCGGACUCUAUAUAUAUAUAUGCAUAGAGUUGAGCUAGAAUACUAUCAAUAGCAAACGGGCUCCGUUGCCACCCAUUUGUUUUCGAUGAUGAAGCCUCCAAAUCGACGAUCGGCACCGUUGAACUUGAUCUAUACCACUUGAAGUGUUUAGAAAUCAAAUUUCAAAUCUUUUCGACAUCAUUUGCCUAAUGAUCAAAGGGUUUCAAAAUUUGUAAUUUUAAUGGUCGAUAUGAGGCAUUUUUUCUCGUUUAACGGCGUAAAGAUAUCCAAAUCAAUUGAAUUUUUGUUAGAAAAUUCUUUAAACUAUUUAAAGCAAGAUCUAUACUCUUGAUCUUGAUUACAAGACUCCUAUUAUUAUUUUUUAAAGAUUAUUCAUUUUCAGCCGUUCAUUUUUGUGUCCGCUCGCUGGAUAAGAGAACAAUAUCGAAUAUGUAUGAAAUUUGAUUUCUAAACACUUGAAGUGGUAUAGAUCAUGUUUAACGGUGCCGAUCGUCGAUUUGGAGGCUCCAUCAUUGAAAACAAAUGGGUGGCAACGGAGUAUUCAAACUCAACUCUAUAUAUAUAUAUAUAUAUAUAUAUAUAUAAAAUAAAGAUAGUAUUUUAUAUUUUAUAUAAAUAUGUUAUUAUAUAACAUUUUAUUUAUAAAUAUAUAGUAAUUUAUUUUAUAGUAUUAAAUAUAUAAUAUUAAAUAUUAUAUUAUAUAUUUAUUGUAUAAUAUAUUUUAAAUAUACUUUAUUUAUAAAUAUAAACUAUACUAUAAUAUAUAUAUAUAGUAUGAUAAUUAUUAUAUAUUUAAUAAUAUAUAAUAUAUAGAAUAAAAGAAAUUAUAUAUAAUACUUUUUUAUUUACUUUUCUUUUCUUUUCUUUUCCUUUCAACCAAACAAUCGUAAUGGAAAACUAUUUUUCGUUUCCUACAAACCAAAUAUUAAAGAGUGUUUUACACCGAAAACUAUUUUUCAUAGUUCUACGUGGAACCAAACAGCCCCUUUAACUUCUUUGGAACUCAUAAUAUUCCUAAGCUAAGUCUAGUUGACAAAAGUUUAUGGCAAAUUUUCACGGGAAAAGGAAGUAAAACUGCUAAACAACCAUCAGCAGUAAAUAAACCAUUCAAGGAUGAGGCAGAGUGCCUCCUAAAAGGAAAACCAAGUUUAAUUACCUAGCAUUGUUCAGCUACUAGAAUGUUUCGAAUAUCAAAUCGAAAUAAUGAACUGAUACGACAUUUAUGCACCAGCACAAAGGUGUGGUCCCUUGGCCACUCCACAGAAGGCGAAAUUGUAAUUUCAACUAUGAUUGAAUAGCAGUAACAUGAGUUACUUGCCUUUAAUAAGACAUCAUGAGUACAUAAAAGAAGGUUACCCAUGAAAUUUCAUUAUAUAUGUACGUAAAACACAUAUGGCAUAUUAGCGAAUUAUUAACCUUUAUCGGGAUUAUUUUAUUGUUUGAUCUUAAUGAAUGUUUCUUGCAUUGACUCGAAACUUAAAUAUGACUCUUUAUUAAGUUAAAAUACAUUUUAUAAGCCCAACUAGUUCAUCAGAACAAUUAUUCGCUUCUUGAAUCUUCCAAAGGGUGCAAUUUUACUAAUGAUAUCCUUGUAGAAAUAUUUGGUGCAAUGAUAAAUAAACAUACAAUGUAUGCACCAAUCUACUGUGCACACUCUUUAGGGUUUACCCCCACAUCUAUACCUACCUUACAGAAUACUCUGGAAAAGAUCAUCCAAUCUACCUUAAACACCCCAUUAUUAUGGAGAGAGUAACUUUUCUACUCAGUAAUUCAUCAAAGAAAUGAGAAACAAAACUACCCAACACAAUAACAAAGCUCCGCACUUCUACUCCUAAACUUUUAUAGAUAUUCUCAUGACACGGUAAGUAACAGAGAUAUAGUUCAUCUACCGAAAAUCAUGAUUCAAUUUUAGUUUGCUGAAAUGUAUCAGAUCAACUAUGUUAAUUAUGCUGCUGCAUAUCACUUGCAAAAGAUAUGAAAAUAUCAUACUGCCCAUAUGGUAUAGACAACAGAAUCAAAGCAUGGAACGCAUGAACACAAAUGCAUUAUCCAUUGUAGCAGUAGUACUACACAAGUACAAAGAAAGGAGGUAUGUAAAAUCUCACCUCUUCUAGUCUGCUCUCUAUCUCUUGGGUAGUUCUGAGCAUCUCUAGUGCAGUCCGGAGCCGUGGUUUAUCCUUGUAAGCAAUUAUAUUGUAAGAAGUCUGCAUGUAGGCAAAAGAUAGAGCCUUAUUAAGCUGCUAAUUUGACGGAAAAGAAGUGUUACAAUGUACACCUGUUGACUGGAAAAUAUUGAUUAAAUAUAAUCCCGCUGAAUCGAAAUUUUUUAGUAUCUCAUAGCAGUGAAUAUAAGAGCUUUGGAUGAGGGGAUAAGAAAGAAACCUGUUCUCUCUUUUUUAGAUCUUUGAAUGCCAACUCAGCUAAAUCCUUUUGAGGAACCAACUUCUCUCUGGGAAGUAUUUUAGCUAUACAAAUCAAAAUUUGCUGAACAGGCCAGGAAGGAACAACAUCUUCAGCUAUCUGCUAGAAAAAUUUACUUAAUAGAAGGGACGAUUGAAGUUCAUCAAGAUUCAGAAAAUAAAGCAAAGGUUUUAUAUACCUUGCACAUUGGUGCUACUAAUAUUGCACCAUCCCAUGCAUCAGGCUGUUUGAAGUGUAUUUUUAAUGCAACUGCUCCUCCCAUUGAUUGACCAAAUAGAAAGCUGGGAAUACCUUUGUACUCAGGAUUUGCUAUAAAUAAAAGUAUACCUUAAAUAAGAUACCGGACAGAUUAAUAUAAAACAUCAAGAACAUUAUACGGACAAUCUAAUAUUAUUAGUUAUAUAUUCAACAAUUUUUAACAGGAUGGAGGGCAUAUAUGCGCCAAGAUUUAUAUCAAGGGGAAGACGACUAUACGUUAAGGGUAUGUUUGGUUCAUGAUUGGAAUAGGAAUGAGAAAUAAAAUUGAAUUAAAUUGGAAUGGUAAAUGGAAUGACGAAUCAUCUAGAAUUGUUCGGUUCAUUACUGGAAUGAAAGUCGAAAUAGAAAUUUAGGAUUUUGGUUAAGAAAGAAAAAAUUGAUGAAGGAAGAGGAUGGGGAGGUAUUUGUGAGAGAGGACUUCGAAUGAUUUACUUUGGGAUGGGCCACUCCAAAAUUAAAAGCCAAAUUAGGCCAUAAAUGGAUUAAGUAUUCCCAUUCCAGAGUGGAAUGAGAUCAGAGUCCGAUUUCUGUAAAACAAACAGCAACUAUCGUAAUCAAUGAAUCUCAUUCAAAUUUCAUAAUCUAAAAUAGAUGAGCCAAAUAAGCCCUAAGUAUUACCUCUGAUAAAUCCGGUAAAACCCGAUAUAUCUUAAGACAAUGGAUAAUAUAUUAUCAACUAGCACUCCACAUAUAUUCAUCUGUUACAAUAAAAACAUAUGAUAAAGAGCAAUAUCUAUAACACUCUGAUCCUUACUGUGGGCGAUAAAGAUUAGUUUGUCCAUUCAUAAGAGCUUAAGAGAUCAUCCCUUCAAGAAAUUUUGAAUAAGAAAGAAUUUUCUGUAAUCCAAGUGGUCAUAUUGUCUAGCCAAAUGUAAGACCAAACAAGUGUAAAAUUAAAAACUAAUGCCACCAAAAUGCACCGAUUUAAACGAGAGGCUAUCCAAGACUUCCUUUCUAUUUGCUUACUGUGCCCAAGAAUUUCUUUGGAUUUGUCAAUGAAGCAGCUCUUUGAGACUUUAAGAACCAUCUCAAGCUCAAUAGCAUAUGCUUGUCCUUGGCAUAGUGUGACUUCAGAAGCUUUAAAACCCUAAAUAAAAAAUUAAAAAUUUCAAAAUCCUAUUCUAUUAUGUAAGAGUGAAAAAGUGAGUACUUUUAGACUAUGGAGACGAAAGCCUCACACCAUCCAAAGAUGGUUCAUCUCUAUAUCAGAGAGAGAGAGAGAGAGAGAGAGAGAGAGAGACUCUGCUUAAGCUUGGAGAUAGAUGAGAGAAGGGUACGUGAUUUUUUUUUUCUUUUUAAUUGUCAUGCUGAACCAAUUCUUUUCUUUAAUGGGUUCGUACUAAACCCACCGAUCGUGACGCCGUGAUGGACUCGACGUCACGGCGUGUCUUAUUUUUUGUUUUUCGAUGGGACACUUCACGAACACCCCCAUCGAGCGUGCGUCCAUGGUGUAUCUGCAUCGAACUCGUGUCUGACGCGGACAUGUAGGAGAUAUGUCCGCAUUGGUGACACAUAGCUCUCUCUCUCUUUCUUUCUCUCCUCUUUCUCUCUCUCUCUCUCUCUCUCUCUCUCUCUCUUAUCAGAUUCGACAACUAAAAUCAGGCUAGACUCGACAAAAGGCUAUUACCUCCUUUCAACAAAUCCAGAAACUAAGAUAUGCCACCAUCUCGUCCUCCGAUACCGACAUCGACACCUUCUCUUGAGAUGUGUAGCUUUUCGUGAAGGUUAGACACUGCCUCUCUUUAUUUUCUCGCUUGCACUCCUGACCGAACCGAAAUGAACCGAGCCGAACCGAAGCAUUUCAGUUCAAUACUAGUUCAAUUCAAAGAAUAUUUAGUACAAUUCAAUCGCAAAAUUGGUAAACCAAAAAAUUCAAUUUGGUUCCACUAAUUCUAUGAAAACCAGCCAAAUCGACUAGCUGCUCACCCUUACACCUUCCCCUCCCCAACCCAAAAAAAACCCAUUCAAUUGUGAAAUUGGUAAAAUCAAAAAAUUUGAUUUGGUUCACAAAAUACAUGAAAACCAAUCAAACCAAUGCCACCCUAUAAGCACACCAACCAACUCAACGUCUUCAUUCUCUUUUCUUUCCCAGGUUAACAUACAAAAGACAACAGGCCUUUCACCUUUCUUUCACACACAACUUUUUCCUUUCUUUUCACAAGUUUACAUACCCCUCUCCUUUCUCACUGGUUUAUAUACCUCUCUUUUCACAGGUUGAGUAAUUUAAAGCAAUACAUGCUUUCCUAUGUACUUGGUAUAAUUUGACGUCAAAUGAACACAUAUAUAGAACAUGGUACAAUUAUUCACCAAAUUGUUAUAUGUCAUAAAUGUGUCAGUAGAUAGAUGCUAAACAUAUCCUUAGAGGCUUAAAGAUUUAGUGAUUGCUAACGUGUAAUUGAAAAUUUUUCAAGGCUUAUACCUCGUCAUAGAAAGGCCAAAGAUCAUCAUUGCCUUCCAAGUCUACUAUAUUCCAAACAUUACAAAGGGGAAAGUUGUUCUCCCCCUGCACCACCCUCCGCCCUCCGUUUUUUUUCUCUUCCCACAAACCAAAAAUAUAAAAAAAAAAAACAGCAGAGGGAAAAUGUUUGAGGUCCCUUCACAUUUUAGUCAAGCAUGGUCAUACUUAGUCAAUACUAAUUAUAUCCUGGAAAGAAGAAAAUAGUUGGAUGAAACAUACAACUAUGUGAUCAACUUUGUCACAAUUAUGAGUUCCUAAAAUUAUUACUUACAGUUCAUCUCUAUCUUAGCAUUAUUCCUAAUCACUAUUUUUUUUUGAGAAAAGGGCAGCAUGCUAUGAGCUUCAUUCAUUAGGAAAAUGAAUUUAGUUACAGAAGUAAGAAAUCAAGGACUCAACCCAAAAGGUAAAAGAAGACAAAAUAGGUGAAGAGACAGAAGAGAAAAAAGAAAAAGAACAAAAAUGAAGAACAAAAAAAAGGGGACAUCGAUGUGUCAAAGCAAAAGCAUUAAGUUACCCUCUGCCACCAUUCACGCACAAGGUUACUGCGACUAACCAUUGUUUAAAUGAAGCCCCUUCCACUAGUUCAUCAAUCACCUGAUCCUAUUAACGGCAAGCAGAGGGUCAGUGUUAACCUCCUUUUUAAUCACCAGAAAACCCACCAGCUAGCUAAUAGUACAAUUAGACUCUUACUAGUCGACUGCCUCCCCUUCGCCAUCCACUUUUUCUAGCCUCCUCUAACAUCAUCACUCAAAUCCUCGAUCUGCACCCCCGCCAGAGCCAUCACUAGCACAUACCUAGUAAAGACGCAUCUCAUGAAUAAAUAAUCCAUCGUCUCAAAGACACUACCACAUAGCACACAAGAUGCGUACCCCGUCCACCCUCUCUCGGCAAGAUUGUCCGCUAUGAGAGACCUCUUUUUGAGAGCUAGACAAAUGAAAAUUUGUACUUUAAGUGGUAUACGUAAUCUUCAUAUCUUUUUGAAAUAGUCAUUCCUCAAUCCCACAUCACUGAGCACCAAAUAUCUAUUAACCUAAAUAAAGCCACAAUGUUUCUUGCCACGUGGCAAAAAACCCUUCAUCUUCAUAAUAAUAAUAAUAUAUAAUAUAAUAUAAUAAUCUAUUAACCCCUCUCCUAUAUAAUUCAUUAAUGUUUCAUCAAUUAAUUCUAUAUUAACGUUUCACCUAUUAAUUAUAAUGUUUCAUCUAUUAAUUCUUCUUUUUUUUUUUUUGUAAUAACUCUCUCUCUCCCACCCUUUCCCCUCCUAUUAAUUAUAACGUUUCAUCUAUUAAUUCUAUUUUUUUUGUAAUAACUCUCUCUCCUCCACCCCUUCCCCUCCCCUCUCCUCCCCAACUAUACGUUCUUGGCCGUAUAGUAUAUGAUUCAUUAAUGUUUCAUCAAUUAUUUGUAUAUUAACGUUUCAUCAAUUAUUUGUAUAUUAACGUUUCAUCAAUUAAUGAUAAUUAUAAUCAUAAUUGAUUGCUAGACCAAUUAUUCGUAGCCACCGUUUCAUUCUUUCAUUUUGUUAAUUUUUUUAUGAAAUUUUAAAAUAUAUUUACCUAAUAUGUAAAAUAAUUAGAUUUUAAAUUUAGGCUCUAAGUAUCAAUCAUUACAAGAUUAAUUCUAUUUGAAUGUUCUCACGCUGAUCUUUCUCUACACAUUUCGCCUUUGCAAUUUUCAUGCCACCGAUCCCAUCCGUUAUUAUUUUUAAAAAAAAUAUAACAAUUUUUUUAUAUAUAUUUGAGUGAUUUGGCGAGAAUUAGCAAUAUUUUGAGGUUAAUUAGAAUUUUUUUGGUUCAAUUUGAGCGAUUUGGCAUGGAUAAAUGACAUUUUGAAAUGCUAUGUGUUAUAGAAAUGCUAUAUGUUACUUGCACAAUUAUUGUUCGUAUUAUAUUACACCUUCCAGACUAAUAAAUGAAUGAACAAUCUAUAUUGUAGAGUCCGGCUACUAUACUUUUAUGAGUAUUGGCUCCCUUAUACUCAUAAGUUUUCGGCCCUUAGAUUUAUUCCAUAAUCAUUUUCACUCGUUAGAUCAUACUAUUCAACCAACUACCCACUCAACCUUAGGGGACCACUAUCAUUCUAAGUGGGGACCACCAUUAUCCUAACUACACAUCCCAUCAAUCAACGGUUAAAAAUUUAUGAGUACAAAGGGUUCUAUACUCAUAAAAGUAUAGUAGCCCCAGCCCUAUAUUGUAUAUAUUAGUAUAUUUCUAUAUACUCUAAUUAGGAUUUACUUAAAAUAUUUUUUUUCCUGUUGCAUCGAUUGCUAUACAAUUAUCUAUAUUGUACCCUUUUUGACAUAGUAAUAUUUUAUUUAGUUAUAUUGAUAUUUUAUUUAUAAAUUUUUUAUUUUAGCAGUAACUAUCCGCCGCAUCACGCAGGUACCUACACUAGUAUAGAUUUAAUAGUGAAUAUUCCAUUUGCAUUCCAAUGCCAAAACAUCCCACCUGCCUCAGAGAGCCUAUCUUUGAGUUCAUGUACUCGUGGAUUACGCCCUUGCUCUCUUAUAUAUACCCUGUCAAAAUUUUCCUCAUCUCCACCCAUUACAGGCGAAGCAUUCACUAACUUUAGUUUUUUCCUCUCUACUCCGUCACUCACAUUGAGGAACAAAAAUUGCAACACAACCUCUCCGCACCCUAUCUUUACAGAAGUCUAUAAUCCUUCCAUCCCCUAACGUAUAUGACACCCCUUCUAUGAACAUAGCUUUGAGGGUGGUUACGUUCAUCCACAAUAUAAGGUAGGACUGAACGAUCUUUCCUCCCGCAACAGUCUCUUUUGUUAGUAAAGCGCUCUAAUGAGCUUAUUCCACUGUAAUUCUAGUAUCGUGAAAAACCUCCACCACCAUUUAGUGGGCGGAGCAUCGUUCAUCAUUGCUAAGUCUAAAAUUCCCAGCACACCUCCAUUUUUGCUCCUGCACACAUUCUUCCAGGCUACUAAACACCCAUUCCCUGUUGAAGUCAUUCCUCCGCUCCACAAAAAGUCUUUUUUAGCAAGUCGAUUCGCUUAAUAAGCCAUUUCGGCACCUUAAAAAUUGACGAGAAAUAGAUAGAUUAGUUAGAACUAUAUUUACCAGCGUAAGCCUACCAACUGUAUAAAUAAGCUUGUCCUGCCAACCAUCUAUUCUCCUUUGUAUUUUCUCAAUUACCCCUCGCAAUCCUCCUUUUUCAGCGCCCUAUCAGAUAGGGGCAAGCCAGAUAUUUAGUCCAGAAUUUUUUCACCCUAUAUUCCAAAAUAUCCGCGAGCCUAAUCACAUUGACCUAUUUUUAGCCACUAUAGAAAAGUAUCAACUUCUCCCUGUUAACCUUCAAUCCGAAGACCCACUCAAAGAGGUGCCAUAGGAACUUAAGGUUCUUCAUAUACUUCUUUCUAGCUUCGCAAAAAAAAAAAAGUGUCAUCUGAUAUUGAAUAAGUAUAACCCGGCUCACCCCAAACAGGUCAAUCCCUUUUACUAGCUUAUUUCUGACCACCUCUUUUGACAUCUGAACUAAACACUCUGCCACCAUCAAGAAAAAGUAGGGGGAGAAAGGGUCCCCCUGCUUCAUCCCUUUCUUGCUUUUGAUCCACAUUUACAAUGCAUUGCUAUAUCUAUUCACACCAUAUCUCAUCAAAGACCCACCACACCAUUAUCCUACGUAAGAAAGCCUACUUGAUCCUAUUGUAUGCCAUUUCUAAAUCCACUUUGACUCUUACUCUCUCCUUUUUAGUUUUACAUCCCCACCCGAUAAGGUCACAAUCCGUGACGAACGAGUCAAAAAUAUUUCUUCCCUUCAAAAAAAGUAGAUUGGGAAGGAGAAUAGAAUGCAUGACUAAUUCCAGUCUAUUAGCCAAAACAUUUGAAAUUAUCUUUUAUAUCCCAUUCAAAAGAUUUAUCGAUCAUAAAUCGUUUUCUUGCACUCUUCCUACUUGGUGACAAGGCAUAAGGAGUAAUUGAGAUGGCCCGUAAAAAGUCUUCCCUCAUACAUCUCUUGAAAGAUGUUUUAGAUAUCCUCAUUCAAAGUGUCCUAGAAAGUCUGAUAGAAACUCAAAUGUACUUUAUCACUAAAUUUAGUUCACAAAAAGUAGUACAAGCUUUUUUUCCUCUUCUAUCUCACGUAUGUGCAUGUUCAUACACAAAAGAAAGCAACAUGCCUAAUCAACCCGUAAUCCAUAGCAGGACAUAUGUCCUCUGUGAAAGUAAUAUUAUUAUUUUACUAUGCUUUGUUGCAGAAUUUUUUCUUUAAAUGACUAUUAAAAUAAAUGAUUAUCUAAAAAUAUUAAUAGCAAAUGGAAAACAAUUAAGUCGCUAAACCAUAAUUUUUAAAAAGCACAAGGUGCACCAAAAAGCACAGAGACUCCUACAACCUAGGUGCAAGGAAUAAGGCACCAGCCUAAGAAAGAUGAGGCUCACAUUUACUCCAGUUUUUAGAUGAAUAAAUAAUGGUCAAAGACCUAUAUUACUACAAUGAACAAAUCGUAAGAUUCAAAAAUCAAAUAGUAACAGUAACAUAACAUAGACUAAAUUAUCAAAAUAAACAAUAACACUAGUGCUAAAAAGUGGUAUAAAGGAAUGCUUAAAACCAUAAAUUACGAAACCCGUGGAGUACGUCUCCUAUACUUUCGAAAGUACGGAAACCUUCGUACUUGUAAGUUGUUUUCGAUAAUAGGACAUCCAAUUCGACGAUCGGCUCCGUUAGGUAUAAUCUACCCUAUUGGAACUAUCUAGAAACCAAAUUUUAUAAUUUUUUGACAUCAUUUACCAAGCGAUCAAAAGGUCUCAAAAAUGACUUUUAACGGUCGAUGUGGCAUGUUUUUAAGUUCAACGGUGUAGAAGUAUCCAAAUUAUAUAAAAAUUUAAUAGAAAAUUCUACUUAACAUCAAUAGCAAGAUCAAUACUUCCGAUUUGAAAUUUGAGUCCUUUAUCACUGUUUUUUAUGAGAUUUUCAUUUUCAGCCGUUCAUUUUGAGGCUACUCGUUCACUAGACAAACGAAGUCAAAAAAUUAUGAAAUUUGAUUUCUAGAUAAUUCCAAUAGCGUAGAUCAUGUCUAACGGAACUGAUCGCCGAAUCAGAUGUCCCGUCAUCGAAAACAACUUACAAGCACGGAGGCCUCCGUACUUUCGAAAACAUAGGAACCUAGCUCAAAACCGUGUACAUCAACUAUAUAUAUAUAGAUAACUGAAAAUGGCAACUUGGGUUUCUAAACCCAUCUAUGUAAACUUCUAAAUCCUGUUUUUGAAAUCCGAAGCUUGUAUCUCAGUUAGAAUCACCCAGCUGAUUGCUAGCCCCGAGUAUAGGGUGUGUGCCCAGGCCCAAAGGUGUACAUCUUAGCAAAAGCGCCUUACCUGGUGUAGAUAAGACACUAACCCUGUGCUUCACAUCUAGAUGGCAAGGCAAGUGCCUCAGACAAGCCUUUUAAAACUACAUACCAAACAAGAUAUAUGUUUUCCCAAUCAAGCUUCAACAAGUUCGAGUAUGCAGCAAAGAAAAUCCUCUUUCUUAUCCAAGAAGUACAUAAUCAAAACUGAGUUGUAAGAUGAAAGCUAAAUGACUCUAGAUUUUAUUCCCUUUCAUAAAUUGAAAGCAAGCUCUAUGAAAGACCUAUUGGUGAGAAAAGAUGAAAUUGACCUGAUAAAACAAUCACCCUAUAGCUCCAUAUUUGGAAAAAUAUUAUGAAACUACGCUCAUAUGGGGCUAGCAUGCUACUAUGUACUACUACUAAUUAGGUCUUAGGCAUUUUGAGCCACAUUGCAAGCCCAUUGUAUUUAACUUAUUGUAGUAGUAGGUUGGUUUGGGCUUUACAUACGAAAUUCACAACAAUGUAACGGGACCACUAUGGGGUCACUAUUACAUAUGAUCAAUUAGUGGGAGUAGGAUGCUGAGGAUGAGCCAAUAGUGUGGCCUAUCAUGUCAUUGGAAUCCGGCAACUCACAAGCAUAUAUGGGAUUGGACGUGGUAAAAUUGUUACAGCUAGUGGUCUUGACCCUUCAAUGUUCUGAAAAUAUUGGCUUUAUCCACAAAAAGUGUUCUAAUACUGCUAGUAACUUUGGCUUAAUCAUUGUGAGCUAUGCUGGCAGGCUUGUCCAGCUUAACCUCCUAGAAGAAGUAUAAUAGUUUGCCCACUAAACACCCACAACACAACACUACUUCCAUCCUCCUCGUUGACUCCUUCCCUCGUUAGAAUGAGAUUGGCGCCUACGAUAUACCAUUACGUGGCCUUAUAUGAUAAUACCCAACUAGUCAACCAAAACCAACAAAAAUACACACAUGUUAAAUUUAUAGGUUUGAUCACCAUUUUAACUAGUGCGAUAGCACAUUAACUUGUCCUAGGAAUUCAACUUAAAAUACUAUACUACGAGCUCUAAUCGAUGAAUAGUAAGCUAAUGAAAACAACAACUCACCAGAAUAUUUGUAAGAAACAUUUAUAAACAGUUUCUUUUGCAGAAAGUGUUUAGAAAAUUUCCUUAAAGAGGCAGAUAGCAAAAUACCUUUGAUUUUGGAGAAGUGCUCAAUUACGUCAUCAACUAGAGCAUCAAAGCUCGGUAUAUAUCCAUGUAGACCUUCUGAAAGACCAAACCCAGGGUAAUCUAAAGCAAAAACCCCAUAUCCAGCUGAAGCUAUCUUCUUUGCAAUUCCUGGAGCAUAGAGAAAGGUAAGAACUAAAAUAGCCUCGAAAAUAUACAAAAAGAAAUGGCUGAAAAUCAAGUUAACAAGCUACAAUUAGGGAUGCAAAUGAAUCUGGGUUGAUGGAGCUUGUGGCCCGAUUCACCCUGAAUGGGGUGGUAAGUAGGAGCCAAAAAUAUAAAAAAAGAUAACACGCCUCGAGUCUUCUCCGAUCUGCCAAGAAAAUAGUGCAGGAGAUGAGAGACCGCUUUCUUCUUCUGAUCCACCCUAAUUCGCCAAAAAUCUGCUCCCUCCCAGAUCCGGCCGGAAUGGAGCAGUAAAUAAUAAGGCAAACAAUAGGAUAAAGUUUAACCCACCCCGAAUCCGCACCAAUCCAACAAGAAAAUGGGGCGGGAGGUGGGGGACCCCUCCCGCCCCCGAAUCCGCCCCAUUUGCAUCCCUAGCUACAUUAGUAGAAUAUAUACCUUCAAAGAAGAAAGUGCAGGUGUCUCCAUAACCGUGACAAAAACAAACAAGCGCCUUGAUUCUAGAGUUCUCUGGAAGCCAACUCUUGGAGAAAAUCUCAAUGCCCCUAGAGUUACGAACAUAAGACUGCAAAACCAUUCAAAUGAGUUAAAGAAGGACUACAAAACUUCAGGCCAAAGCAUAGAGCCUAAGCGCAAAGUGUAAAGCGUAGGCAUGGGCCUGAGAUAGUUGAGGUGCACAUUUUCAUAAUCUUUAAAGAUGAAUAUAAUACUCUUUAGAAGACCUAGUGACGACUAUUAAAUGAUACUAAGGCCCUAUUUGGAUGCAUGAAUAUCUUAUUUCAGAUAUACCUUCGAAUUAUUCAAAAAGUUGUAGUAUUUGGUAGAUGAGAAAUGUGAUCAAACCUCUAGGAUGGAAUAACAUAUUCCACUUUCUAGUCAAUUUUUCAGAAUAAGGUAAAUUGCCUUGUAGGUGAAAUAUGUUUAUCCUACCAAAUCAUUGAUGACAAGACCUUUCAAGGAGCAAAAAUUAAACUUUUUGCCUCCAGUCACACAAAAAAAACUUCAUGCCGAAUAACUUAUUCAAGGAUAACUUAUUCCAACAUCCACACAAGACCUAAGUGCACUUAAAAUCAAAUUAUCACAAUAAACAAUUCAUAAAUAAGCACACUAGGGGAAAAAAAAGACAAAAACAAUUAAAAGAAAAGAGGUAACAUAUGUAAGAGAAGAAAACAGCACAUUUAAAGAAAAUUUGAGGGCUCAAACAACGAUAUUUGCAAAGUACAUAUAUAUAUGACGGCUAAAAAAAGAACCACCACAAAUUCAAUGAAAAAAGAAUAUAAAAUUUUUUAGAAACCCACUUUUAAAAUUCAAAAUUUUCAAAAAGAUAUAACACCUCAGCAAGGCACACCUUAUGUGCACCUACCGCCUAGGCUCAGGCACGCACCUAGGCCCUCCAAGCAUGCGCCUAGAGGAGGGUGCCUCAUCUUAGAGGCCUCUAGGAGAAGGCCUGUAAGCUUGGCGCCUAGGCACUCAGGACUCAAGCGCAUGCCUUUUUAAUCAUUGGGCCAAAGUAACAUAGUCCACAUUGAUACUACAGGCAAAGACAAAUUAAAAUGGGAGUGAAUUCUUGAAAGCAAGUUUUGUCAAAUGAGCGGCACGGGGGAGUUCCUAAUCUAUCAAAGCUGAACUGAAUACCUCCUUCGUUUUGACUCCAGCGUAUUGUGCCUGUUGUAAACACAAGAAGAGGUGUGAGCUAUAUUCCUCAAACUAUAAAGAAUAAUCAAUAAAAUAAAGGUGAUAUUUCCAUGAGCUGAAUAGAGCACUUUACAAGGAGUAGAUGAUCAUAUUCAACAAAUAAGUUAAUGAAAAGAUCAUUAUCCAGAAAAUACUGAUGUCAACAAAAACUAAUGACAAGAGUGCCUCAAAUAAAGUUGGAGUAUUGAUAUAGCUCACUAUAUUUAUCAAUAGAACGAACUUCAUAUGUGUAAGUAUUUGAGUAUUGAUAUAGCUCACUAUAUUUAUCAAUAGAGCGAACUUCAUAUGUGUAAUGUGUAACUGUAUCAAUAUCCUAUAGUCCAUCUGUUGCUCCAAGGCAACAGUUCCUGAACUAUGCAUACCAUGCAUAAAUAAUGCAUAAGAAGAUAUAAAUAACUAAAGCAUGAUAUAUCCUUAAAAUUCAAAAAUUAGAUGAUUAAUGAAAGUCGGCAGGAUAAAUUACUCCACAAACUACUUUAUAACUCGAUAAAUUCAAUACAGAAACAAGGUUUACUAACUCAACCUGCUCCAUAGCAGAAUUUUCUUUAUAUUCUUCACGAAAUUACUUGGACAAUGAGGCAGACCCUAAAGAUACUUGGGACCAUUGUAAACUAUUCCAACACAUUAAGUGCUUGCAAAAUUACAUAACUAUAUAUAUAUGACUUGUAAGCCAGGAAUAAACAAUGUUAAGAAGUUCUUUUGUUAUAUUUGCUUCCCUUACAGUUAUCCAAUUAUUACAUCAAUAACACAGCACUCCUCAAAUAAAAACACCUUUAAGCGGAGUUCUAGCCUUUCUCCUUCCAUGGCAUCAAUAAUACAGAACUCUUCGAAUAAAAACAUCUUUUAGCAAAAUUUUUGCCUUUCUCCUUCCACCGGAGAGCAAGGCAGGUGCAUAGAAAAAUGUACAAAACAAAUUUCAGGAGUUCAUACAAAUAAAAUAUAAAAAUUUAGCUAGACAAACUCCUCAGGCCAUUCCAUCUUCCCUGGCGUGCAAUGAAAUGCAAAAAACAUUUAGUCUUUCCAGUUGUGUCAUACAAGAAAGAGCUAAAAACAAAGUUGUAGAUCAUUUUUCAAAUAAAACAAUUUCCAGAAACUUUGUUUGUUUUCAUCCUAAAUACAACAUGCAUGAAUUUUGAAAAUUCUAUGAGAUUUAAGCCUAUCAGACUGCCACAGAAACUAAAAACAGUUCUGCUUCGAGAUCUAUCCAACUACUAUUGAUCCUCAAAAUUUGUCAAAUCCAAGUUUAAAUAAAAGAAAGUGCUUGUUAGAACUCAAAGAAAUGAAAAGUGAAGAGAAAAACAUUAUAACAUCUAUAUAUCCAAGAACUUUUGAUCCCUAGGCAAAUUUUAGCUGAGAAUCCAAAAUUGACACACAAACUCUGCAUUACUUCCAAAUUAAACCUGUACUGCUAUGGUGCUCAAAUACUUCAGUUUGCUUGUCGUAUCAUAUCAGAUAUGUAUUAAAUACCAAUGCUCGCACAAUACACGCUCGAUACGUGUCAGAUACUUCUCAAGAGUAUUCGGCAUUUUUGAAAAUUCAAAAAAAAAAAGAGCUAGAUAGCGUUAAAAUUCAAAAUUAUACCGUAUAUUUUAUGGAUACACUACGAAUACUUGCAAGAAAGGGGGUAGAAUUAUUUUGCAAUGCAAUGAUACUUGUACCAUGAAUUCAUGGCUGAUAAAAACUAAAGGAUACUGCUGGUGUGAUUAAUUUUGUUUCUUGAUGAACAAAAGUCAACUAUGUUCAUAUCUUUACACAAGUUAAGUCAAUUUAUUGCUGUGGAUAAACCAUUCAUCCAAAGUUCUAGACUUUUUAAAGUUGUAUAUGAUAUAUAAUAUAUGCAUAAAACAUAUUUGUUUUGCAAUAUCCCCUAUGUACCGUAUCCUAAGAUUUUCAAAUUUGUCGCGUCGUCGUAUCUGUAUUAUGUCAUAUCUGUAUCCCAUAGCUGUGUCCGUGCAACGUUGUUGUAUUAGCUUCAGCCAUACCAUUCAAUCCUUUAAAUAAUAGAUACAUUCCUCUAUCUCUAUUUGUUUUCUCUAUCUGCCUAUCCCCUUUCAUUUUUGCUGUUUUCCUUCCAUUUUUUUAAAUUUAUAGGUUUUAAGUCGCAUACACGAAAUAUACACUUAUUUUCUUUUCCAAUAAGUAGCUUGCUUCGGUGUUUUAUACUUUCCAAUACUCUUAAUAACCCACCCUCUUCCUGUUUUAAUCGUACUGUGCAGGACCAGUUUACUCUGAUAUUGGUAUUCAAAAUGCAAUAAUCUUCGACAAGAUUAAUUAAUAGGGUAAAAUCUAGACACAUCAAUUAAAAAUAAGGUUUUUCUUAAUUGUAAACUCCAAGGAACCAUUAAAAAUUGAGUUACAUACUGAAACAUCACAUAUAAGGGGGCCUUCACUAAAUGCUUAACCUAUAUGAUAAAUAAAAGAACUCAUAGAACUAAAAGUCACUUAGAACCUAGGCAAUUAUGAUACAUCCAGGGCUGAUAAAGAACAAUUAUGAUACAUCCAGGGCUGAUAAAGACCUCCUGCAAUUUCCAGUACAGCACACCAUUUUGUAUAUAACUUUGAACCAACAAUUGUCAGAUACUAGCAUAAAAAAAAUCAGAUACUAACACUAUAAUAGGAGUAAGGACAAUGAGACAUUAGUCCCAAUACUUAUUUGGUUGGCUUAUAUCAAUCCUAUUCCUUCACAAUGCUCCAAUCUACAUAUGACAAGAGUCUUGCUCAAAAGUCAAAACAUGUCUAUCAUAACUAAAAAAAAAAAAAUCUAAAUAUUUUACCUAGAGUCGAUAGUAACAUAAUGCUCCCUCCCAAGGCACUUGCUAACUAAUAUAAAUCAGUCCUCUUCUUUCUUAUUUCGAGCAAAAAUAUAUAAUCACUCUUCAGUGCUGCACCAUAUGAUAUCUUUUACACGUGACUUAACAAUCUUACACGGUUUUCACACAACAUAUCCUUUAUGGACACAAUAUUGUGUCAAAUUCAAUUAGAGCACGUUUAGCUCUGCUGUAGGAUAUAGUGCUGCUUUGAGAAAAUUUUCUCCGAGUAGUGAUACAAGAAGAAGCGCUACAUUUUAUUCGGCCGCAGAAUCAAAAGUGUGAUUAGAGCUUCUACUUUUCAGCCACGGAAUACCAUUUUCCCUUCCAACUGCAGCAAAAGCUCCAAACUUUUUUCUUUGUUUGCAGCCAAAAGCAUUACCAAACAGGCCCUCAGUAAAAGGAUAUCCACAAGUACUCUGGCUCAGAUAUCUACAUUCAUUACUACAACAUUUCUUACCAGCCACAAGAACUCCGGCUUGCAUAAUACCAAAAAUUAACAAAUUUAGCAAAUAACACGGAAUCAUAUUAAUCGAGAUUAAGCAAUACGCUUAAACCCGAUUAAAAUGCUUUAACGAUCUAAAACGAUUCAACAACAAAACCGAAUUGGGCAAACCCAUGAAUGUCUAAGAUCCAAAAAGGAGCGAACAAGGGGAACAAAUCCGCGGAAUACCUUGAACAAGCAGUGAUCGAUCCCGAGCUGCGCCUCCUUGAACGCCUCGCGCACGCGGCGCCGAUCGGGCGCGUGGUCGAGGUUCGCCUCCGCCACCACCCUCGCCACCUUCUCGUCCACUCCCUCCCACCUCACCCCCCUCCUCCCCUUCUCGCACAGCGAGGCGACACCGAGCCCACUAACGAAACCUAUUGAUCGUUAGAAAAACCCUAGACGCCGACGACGAAGACGACGACGAUCGAAGAGAGAGAGAGAGAGAGAGAGAGAGAGAGAGAGAGAGAGAGAGAGGGGAGGGAUACCGCGAGAGGGACGAGAGAGGAGCUUCGCGAAGGUCAUCGUCGGAGGAGGAGGAUUCAACACCAUUUAAAGCGGCGGGGAAAAGUGAGGGGGGAGUAAAUUUAAUUUUAAUUUUUUUUAAAAAAAAAAAAGGGCGUGGAAAAAUUUGGGAAAUAGGGGUUAAAAUGGAAUUUUAUUUAUUUAUUACAUAAUAAUAAAUAAUAAAGUGGAAAUAAUGGUGUGUAACACGAGAGAGAGAGAGAGAGAGGAGAAAGAAUCUGCGUUUCGUUAUGGAGUGGACAUUGAUGGGGUACGAAAAGGUCGGUGGGGGAGGGGAUGAGACGUUGGUUUUCGGUGUAACGCGCGUUUGCCACGUUAAACUCAUAUGUGGGUCCCGCAUGUUGAGGGAGUUAUGUAGAAGCGUUACACGGUAGGAGUUGGGGAUAAGGUAGUGGAAUAUAUCCGUAUCCAUUGGAAUGGUGUUGAGAGAAAUUAUUGGAUAGGUAUUGCUUACCAUUAUCCCCAAACCUUUUUAUUCUUGUUAUAAUUAUUAUAUUUUUAAUUUUAUAAUCACUUUUAUCCUUUUUUUUUUAGUUUGAUCGAUUCCACACCUCUUUGCUUAUUUCACAAUCCAAAAUACGGUCGUAGGUUCUCAAUCUUGCACACAAUAUUAAUUAUCUAUUUUUUGAGCAUUCUAGCGUCUUAAUAUUAAUUUAUACGUGCUACCAAACUUUACCUAAAAUUUGAAGUUAAGUAGGUGUCAAAAUUUACUUAUGACAGAGCCCAAUAGUACUAUAUCGGAUGAAAAUGAGCUUGUGAAUAGAUAUAUAAGAGACCAUGAGCACAAGUAAUAAUAACUAAGUUCAAUCAUUUUCGACUGAUUGGUUUGGAUUCAACAAGUUAUUAUUGCUAACUAAUGUGGUUCAUAUGAGUGGAUAAAACUUUAUUAGACUAAAAUAAUCUCGUCAAGAUUAACUAAACUUUGGAGGCUAAUCAUAUUCAUACAUGUAAAGUGACACAGAGUCAAAUCAAGAGCCAUACAAAAUUUUAUAUUAAAACAAGGACUUUUUUUUGCAUUUGGCCUCUUGAAAAAAAAAUAUUUUGAAAAUAAUCCCAAUAAAUUUAUAUUUACAAAAAUGACCCUAACCCUGCUACGCAUGCGCCACGUCAGCGUCACGUGAGCGGGCUGGGGCCAAUUUGUUAAGUUAAACACGAUGAACCAUUCAUCGUGUUUAGACACAGUGAAUGAUUCACCGUGUUCCAUACUUUUAUUUCUCUUAUUCCUCAUUUCCCUCUUUUCAAAAAAAUGAAAAAAUUGGAUCUAUGUUCAACGGAUCACACCUACCAAGAAAAAGUAUUUUGUUUCGGUUCGACCCGUAGUCACAUAUGAAAUAUCCGAUGGGAUAAAUUUAGCAAACAUGUUUGAACACGAUGAAUGAUUCACCGUAUUCAACUUAACACCCUCGUGCUUGCGUGGCGCUGAUGUGGCACCUGCGUGGCGGGAAUAGGGUCAAAUUUAUAAUUAUAAAUUUGAUGGGAUUAUUUAUAAAAGAAAAUUUUUUGAGAGGGUCAAAUGCAAAAAAAGCCCUUAAAACAAUAAUAUAGACAAAAAUUAUUACUAUAUUUCAAUAUAAUAGGAAGUACUCAUUAAAAGAUUGCUUCAGUAUAAUCAGAGGUACUAAAAGAUUGGGAUAAUUAUCUAUAUAUCACUCAAAAACUUUAAAAAUAUCUAAAUUAUUUUUUUUUUUCAAAUAUGUUUUUCGUAUAUUCCUCCGUUAUUCAAAAAUGCUCCCACAGUUAACAUUGGUUAAGUUAUCUCGGAUUAAACAUUAGUUAUAUGUCUACCGGAGUUAAAAAAAAAAAUCAAAAUACCUCUAAGAACGGACAAAUAUUUUUUUGUCCCUAACUUAAGGGUAAAUAAAAAAAAGUUGAUGAUGAUAGAAGGGUAUAUUUAAAAGGGUAAAAUAGUAAUUUUACAGUAAUAACGAUUACUGUAAAUAGUAAUUUUACAGUUAGUAAUUUUACAGUAAUUUUACAGUAAAAUAGUAAUUUUACAGUAAUUUUACAGUAACAACUAUUACUGUAAAUAGUAAUUUUACAGUAAUUUUAAAUUAUAGAAGGGUAUAUUUAAAAGGGUAAAAUAGUAAUUUUACAGUAAUAACGAUUGUUGCUAACCGUUUACUAACGGAAUUUAUUUCUAAAAGUAUAUUUAAAAUAACUUGUAAUGUUAAAAGGAUAUUUUUAAUAUUAAACUUCUAAAAGUGAUAAAUUAGGAAAUCAAAAAAAAAAUUGCAAGGAUACAUAACAACAAAACAACAAUAUGCACCAAAGCUCCUCAACAAUGAACUAUUAAAAAUAUAAUAUAAAACGUGUUUGGCAUAGUCACUAUAUAUAGUGACUAUACAUAUCUCAAGUGUGUUGGAAAAAAAUAAUAAAAAUACCAAAACGCAGGUAAAAUCUAGUAUAAUUUUAUAAGUUUGAACACAUAGAUCACUUUCGAUGACUUUAAAUUUUAUAUUUAAAACACCUAUGAUGGCGUUUAGUGACUAAAAUAAAAAACAAGUUAUUAUCAAGAUCAGAUCCCGUGGAUCCCCCGUUACAAUGGAAAUCAAACGUGGGGUUAUUAUUAUGCUUCAAUAAUUAUAUUAUUUUAUUUCAUCUUUUAUGGGAAAAAAAAAAACCCACUUUGUAUUAAAUCACAAAAUGAUCGAGAAAAGAUAUAUUGUUUUUAGUUUUAUUUCUUUUUGUGCCGUGUAGCGCCAAGAUUACUGUUAAGUGGUCAGAGUCAAGAGAGUUGUGCGGUCGCUCAGAUUUGUGGGAACUUGGUUGGUUGGUCAAAAGAGAUCUUUUGAUUAAUUGGUUUUGAAGCAGUCGUAAUCCAAGCAGUUUUGAAGAAGAGUAUUUUAAAAAAUAAGGAUAAACUUCAAAUAUCAUUCUGUGAUUUCGCACUUUCUCACUUUAGUACUCUGUGGUUUAAACUAUAUCAAGUUAGUAUUCUGUGGUUUCAUUUUUAUCUUUUCGUCAGCUUUUCCGUUAAUAUUUUGUUAAAUUAUAUACAAAAAACUUCAGAUAUCUAUCUAGGUUUAUCAAAUAUUCACUUUAGUACCAUUUAGUUUUAACUUUAUUACUAAUUUAAAGAAAAAAAUUAGUGGAAUCGAUAAUAAAAGGAUAAAAAGAAAAACACAUGACACUAGAUUAAUACACUUUAAACCACAAGGCACUAAAGUGCGAAAGUAUGAAACCGCAGGGGUGGUAUUUGAAGUUUUUUCUAAAAAAUAAGAAUAAUUACCUAUAUUAUACCAAUUAAAAUUUUGAAAAUUUUUUUUCUUUCCAAUAUACCUCUUAUAUAUUCCUCCGUUAUUCCAAAAAAGUAAUACAUCAAUACACCAUAUAAAUCUCAACUAUUUAUUUUUCUUAAUAAAUGGUUUAGAUUUAAUUGACUCUAGAGAUGACCUACUAUUGAGGCAUAGGUACCAUUCAUCAGAUACUCUAGAAGUGACCUACUUUUUUUAAAAAAAAUAACUUUUGAGUUCGAUUGUUUGAUUCACUAUAAAGUGAAAAAUAAAAAGAUAUGCUUUUGUAGCCUUUCUUAUGAGAUCAUGUUUGGUUGUCUGAAAGUAGUUGAAGUGAAAAAAGUCAAUUUUUAGAAAAAUGACUUUUACGAAAAAUAACUUUUCAGUUUGAUUGUUUGAUUAAUUGUAAAGUGAAAAACAGAAAGUUACGCUUUUGUGUGGUUUCGGUUGUUUGAUUAUUUGAUUAUAUAUAAUUUGAAUUCAUGUUUGAAUCCAAUUUUGACUUACUAUUUGAUCUUAAGUUUUGAAUCCAAAUGUUUAAUUUGAAUCAAAAUUUAAAUUUAAAUUUAAAUUUAAAUUUUGAUUUUAAAUUACAAUUCAAACUGAACAUUUGAGUUUAUAAUUUGAAUUCAAAGUUCAAACAAAAACUCUUUUUUGAAAUUAAAUUCAAAAUGCAAACUUAAAUUCAAUUUCAAAUUUCAACGUAAAAAUUUAAAUUUUGAAUUCAAUUUUCAAUAGAUAAUAAUUUUAAUUUGUAGUUUAGAACAAUUUGAAUUUAAAGUUCAAAGUGAAGUUCCUAGCUAAAAAUAAUUUUCUCAAAUUUUAAAUUUAAAUAUUUAAGUUUUAAUUUAAAUUUAAGUUAAAAAAUUAAAAAUAGAAUUCAAAUUAAAACAAAAUUGUGGUUUUUAUUUUAUAUUGAAAUAAAAUUUAUAAAUUUGAAUUGAAAAAUUUUGUGUCGAAUUUGAAAUUAAUUACAACUAAAUUAAAAACGUAAAACUUUAAUUGCGAUUUCAAUUCAAAUUUAAAUUGAAAUUCAAUUCUAAAAAUAAAUUCAAAAAUUAAAGUUAAACCAAAUAUAACCAUUUAGAUAAGCACUUCUUGCUUUAGGUGAUCGACCUUGAAAUAUUUUGGGCCGAAGUCAAAAAAGUGAUAUUUAGCUAUAACUCUGUUACUUUUAGGGGCCGUUUGGUUAGAUGUAAUUAUAAAUGUAGUGUAGUUAGAGAUGCAUGUAGUUGAAAAUACAGCAGUUAUAACUACAUGAAUCUUGUUUGGUUGGAUGUAGUGAAAAACGCUGCAAGUAUAAAUAAUUUAUUUGGUUGCAUACAGUUGAGAAAUAAUUUUUAAAAUUUUAUUAUUUUUAUAUAUAUGAUGGUGAGAUUACCUCCAAUGUAAAAAAGAAAAAUAAUUUUUGUUUAAAAAAUAUUGAGGAGGUAAGCAAACCUUUUAUUUAAAAUUUCUCUCUCCAACUGAUGUAGUUGGAACUGCGGCCAAUUUGGGCGUAGUUCGAACUGCUGCAAUUGAGCCUCCUCCUGCAAUUCCUACUGCAGUGAUUGGAGUUAAAUACAUUAAACCAAACACGAAAUUUGUAUUUACAUGCAGUUACAACUGCAGUGCAGUUGCAACUACAUGCAACCAAACGGUUUAUAUCCAUUUUCGCAAAUCAAAUAGCUGAUAAAGCGUUACUUUCUGAAAGCAAGAUUUUUAAUUUUAUUUAUUUUUUUGAAAGAACACCAUUAAAACAUUUAUUCCACAGGAUAAACAAUCACAGACUCCUCAAACUCUUCAAAACAGACCCAACUAGAAGCUACCUGGGAGGCAAAGCUUCAUUUUAGCUAGAUAGUUUAUUAGUACUUUGUGAAAAUGGACCAUAUCUGGAAGACCAUCCUAUAAGAAUAUUGUUGUUAUUGGAUUUCAAAAGGCGACGAAACGAAACAAUUUGCUAUCUAUGCUAAUUGCAGUGAAAUCUGAAUAUGUCGAUCAGCCGACCAAUCAUGCCCUCAAUGAAAGCGGUCUCAACACUGCAGACAGUGCAUACCCAAAUGCCAGUCGAGCGGUUGAUCGGAAGUCGAUUCCCCACCUGCACGUUUGUUGAAAGCAGCAUUCAAGCUCCCCGCAUCCUGGGGAACUCAAACAUAAAUAUGACGUUAACACCCUAGUACGAUUUCAAUUCAUUCAACAAAAGAGAAAAAAAAGUGGAUUUUUUCUCAUAAUUUGACGUGGGAGCUGGCGAUAAUUCAUUUGCUAUUAAUUAUAUAUUAUUUUAUCAACAAUCCAAAAUUACUCUCCUUCUAGAAACAGUUACGUUAUUAUCAAUAUUAUUACUGUAAAAUUACGUGCUAGAUUUGAAAAUAUAGUCAAAAUCUUGAGCUGUUAGAAAUACGAAACCAAUUCACUUGGGCCGUGUUUGGUAAUAGGAUAAUUUUUGCAGGGUUAAAUUUUUUUUAUUCCUAGAAUAUCUCAAUAUUCUAUGAUAGAGAGGAUUGAAAAUAAUUUUUUGUUUAGCAAAAUUUGUACUUAUUCUCUGCAAUAGACAAAAUGAUGUUUGAUAACUUUCUUGAAAGAAAAAAAAAAAUAGUUAGUAAAGUUGAUUGAAAUAUUUAAAAAUACCAAGUUUGCCCUUGUAUAUACCGUGAAUUUUUUUCUUUGUAUAAUACAUAUACAAUACUUGAUAAAUUUUAAUAUAAUUUUUUCAAAUAUAAUUACAAUACAAAAAUUAUAAUUAAAAAAUAAUAAUAUUUUUCUACUGAGCAAUGCAAUAUGCAGUAAGUAAGAUAAUUUUAAAUUAAUUUAUACAAUUAGAAAUCAAUAAUAUAUGCAAUAGUAUCUAAUUUAUUUAGCUGUCAAUCAUUUCACAUAGUUAAACAAAAAUCCUAAUAUAAAUAUAUUGGACUAACCAAAUCUCUACGUACUUGGCAUUCGGAAAAGAGAUGAGAGCUUUGGUAGGUGGGUAAAGUGGCGCCGAGAAGGCCUUGCUGCCCCUCGGGUUCCAGGAAUAAACCUUAUUCCAUGGUUGGGAAAGAAUAAAAUUAACGGAUUAUUCCAGUGAAAAUUGGAAUAACCUGUUUUGACCGGUAUAAAUUAUUCCGGUAUUUUUUUUUUCCGUUUGGCAUAAUAACGAGAAUAAAUUUGAUUAUUCUGCAGUUAUUCCGUUACCAAAUGGAGUCUUAAAGCGUAUAAAUACAAUGCCCACGGGUCUCGAUUGUAACUCGGCCCAACCAGCCUCACGCCACUUCAAAUAUAACUCGGCCCAACCCAGCAUCACGCCAUUUCGAAUAAGACUCGACCCAUAUGGCCUCCCGCCACAAAACAGGAUGCUGGCCUAUUUAAGCCAACAGUCAUAUCCAAAUGAAUUUGAUCUUAUACCCAAUAACAAAAUGGAAUGUAAAUAAGAGGUAUCCAAAAAAUAGACAGCACGUAUCACUAGGGGUGUAAACGAGCCGAAUACGAACUGGCUCGUUAAAGUAUCGAGCCGAAAAAUUCAGCUCGUGUUCGGCUUGUUAAUAAACGAGCCGAACAUGAGCUGGCUCAUGAGCUGGCCAACGAACAAUAAGUUAAAACGGAUUAGAUUUAAUAUAUAUAAAAAAUAAAUUUAUAAAAUCUUAUCUAUUAGACUUUAAUCUCAUAGUUGAAACUUUAUAUAUAAAUGAGUCUUUUUAUAAUUAAGCUUGCAUUUAUAUUUUUAUUUUGCUAAAAAUUAAAUAAUAAAAAUAUAUAUUAUAUAUAAUUAUUUAUUUAUAUAUAAAAAUAUAAAUUAAAUAAAUUAUAUAAAUAUAAAAUAUAUAUAUUCNCGUAUUUCUAACAGCUCGAGCUUUUGGGAUUAAUGGUUAGCGCCAACGAUCCGACAUUAAUCACGUUCGUCCAUCAAAAGCGUAAAUAAUUAAUAUAUGUCAACUGUUGGAUCGGCUUUAUCCUUAUGGGGAUCGCUUUGAAUAAAUCAUAUAAAUCACAUCCAACAAUUUCCUCAAAUGGAGUAAGAAAAUUAUUAUAAUAAUUAUCAGGACAAAGUAUAUUCUUUUCAAGCACAACACACUCAACUAUAUAUCAGGGGAUUACAAGGAGUAUGCAUUACGUAUAGUGAGAACUUACGAAAGAAAAAAAAUUUGGGUUUAUAUUUUUGUAACAAAUAUAUAUAUAGCCAGCCAGUAGACUGAUCCAAUUAUGAUAUAAUAUGUGAAGUCCAAGUAAAGAGCGAAUCUCUAUGCCGACUAGUUUAGUAUAUAAGAUUUAUAGUUCUAGUAGAAAGCGAAUAUCUAUAUGCUACAGUACUGGUUCAUUAAGAUUUAACAUUUACGAAAAUGGAUAAAAAUAUUUCUAACACUCAAUAUCAACCAUCCUCAUGUACAUGGUUCAUUAAUUUGGUAGACUAUGUAGACCCUUUUGAGAGGAUUUGGGUCGAAAAUUUUUUUUUUCUCACAAUCAAUUUUACAGUAUUUAAUCUGCUGAUUGGGCUUAUUAGAAAUGUUUUAGAAUAUAUAUUUGAAGAUGCCAUAAAUUAACUUUUAUAAAUUUUAAUAUUUUCUAUUAAUUAGUUCAUCAAGUCAUUUCUAGUUUGACUAUGUUAAUGAUGAUUGGAUAGAGUUGCUAUUUUAAUAUAUAAAUAAAUAUAAUUUGAAUAUAUCGAAAUAUUGUAAUAAUAUGUUUUUUUGAUGCCAUGAUAAAAAAUGAUGACUUGUUUUUAAUUAAUAAAGAUAAAGAAAAAUAAGUAAAAAUUCGUACCUAUUAGCUAGAUUUUGGCCGUAUAUUCGGCCAAAAUCCGGCCAAGAAGCAGGAGUGAAGGGAAGUAAAAAAGAAGGAAAGUCAAUAGAAAUGCUUGGAAAAUGAAAGAAAAGUCAUUAUCUUUUUAUUACAAGAAGAUACGACUUUUUCUUCUUCUUGUUUCCUUUUAUAUAUUCUAGCAUUUUGGUUAGAUUUUGGCCAGGGGCCAAAAUUUGGCCAAUAGUUAAGGAUUUUUGUUUAUUUUUCCUUGCCAUUUUUUUUUUCUUACUACCUUUUGACCUUUUUUUUUUUUUUUUUCCUNUUUUCCUUGCCAUUUUUUUUUCUUACUACCUUUUGACCUUUUUUUUUUUUUCCUAUAUAUGAUCUACACUAUAAUCAUUUAGAUCUUCACCUCCAUUUUGCUUUGCUCUCUCACUACUCGGAACUACCCACUCUUCUAAUUUGUCAGAUGCCACUAAUUUAAUGUAUGUUUUUCCUAACUUAACAAACUCGAUCGGAGAUCGAAAUGUUCUGCUAUACGUUGAGGGACGGUACGUAGUUGGACCAAGUGUAUAAUCUGAGUGAUUUUUUUCGACCAUCAUAUUAAUUAUUCUAUAUUUUUCUAUAUUAUGAACUUAUCUAUAAAAGCCCAACCUUCUAGUAAUAAUAGCUCACUAGGCCUAAACUAGUGGCCUAAAAUGCUUAAUCUCAGUUUUUAAUACUAGUGUUCAUGAUCUCUUAUAUUCUUAAUCAUAAUUUCAUUUUCAUCCAAUAUGAGACUAUUGUGGUAUCACUUACUCCCUCCGUUUAGGUCUUGGCAUUCUUGUCAGUCUACUACAUAUACAGUCUAAGAUCAUCAAGCGAUGUGAGGCAUACCUUAUACUUUUGGUUGGUGAACUCGGCUCUGAUACCAAAUAUCAUGUCUUGCUUUCUAAGAGGAUACCCAUCCUAAAAUUACUUUAGCCCUAGCACACUUAACCCUCUUAACCUCUUAGCCCAAAUCAUCAUUCAAAAUGUUAUAUCAAAAUUAAAAAUCUCACAAGCACCAAGCUUUUAUUGCAAAUGUCAAGUUCCACUUCUCGGGACGGUACCCAUUCUAGAAUUACUCUAGCUCUAGUAUGCUUAACCCUCUUAAUCUUUUGCCUAAUGCACAUCCUGCUUUUCGGCGGUUACUCAUCUUAGAACUACUCUACUGCUAGCAUCUUAACCCUCUUAAUAUUUUACUAAAUGGCAUGUCGCUUAACCCUGUUAAUUUUUUAGCUUUAGCUACCACCCAUGAUGCUAUAGUGAGUUCAGAAAACUACAAGUACCAAAUGAUAUGAGAUUCGUCUCGCUAGUCUUAACCGAUCUUGUGGGACCUACACUCUACUUGCUCUAUGAUUCUGACUCAGCUAUGACUUAUCUCACACUUUCGGCUGGUGAUUGACUCUAAUAACAAAUGUAACGUCCCAGUCCAUUAGUAAUAAUAAUUCGUUGUACCCAAACUACUGGCCCAAAAUCUUUCAACCCAAUUAUUAUUAUUAGAGUUAACUCCAAUCUUAUGUGGAACUAUUGAGGUGUUAAAUUCUCUUUUAUCUAGUUUUACAGGUACUUAUGUCUUAUGUCGGACCUUCUUUCUUUAUUUAGAAAUAAGCUUAUUUUAAUUCCUAAAACUCUAUAUUAUUGUAAUCAAACACUACUUUUGUAAUAAAAUGUUUACUGGCCUUACUCAAAAAAAAAAGUUUUGAAUAAAGAGAUUUUAUACCUUGUUUUUUGAGCCUAUUUGUUUCACACCAUAUAUUCAAUUUUCUCUUUAAUUACUUGAUAUAUAUGUAAAAGUAGCGACUAAGAUCAGUUCAUACAUUGUACAUUCAAUGGCAGUAAAUAUCGAUUUUGAGGAACGAUUUAAACAAUGUAUGAUCAUAGAAGGAAUGCAUUUUCGAGUUUUAAUAUUACCAAUUGAAACUUGGUCUUUAGAUGGCCAAGUUGUUGGAUUGCAACCUAUGUUGGACUUAAUUUAAACCUAGCACUGCUAUGUAUUUAAACUCUAUUGCUUAUGAACUAACACUUUUUUAUUUAGAAACUGUUUCUAGUUUAUACUGGUUAGUUAUGUUAGUUUGGAUAUGUGUUAAAUCUCCGCUGUUUAUGAAUUACAUUUUUUUAUUCAGAAAUUGCUUCUGUUUUAAGUUGGCUAGCAAGGUUAAUUUGGAUUAGAAAACAAUAAUAGAAUCCUAACUCUCAUCUGUGUGAUCAUGUAUGAGAGGUGCUCUUUCUAUUUUAAAUUGUUAACGAAGUUAAUUUGGAUUAAAAAAACCAUUACUUAGGACAAUAGAAUCACAACCCCUCAUCAUGUGUGAUCAUCUAUGAGAGGUGCUCCUCCUAUUUUAAAUUGGUUAGCGAGGUUAAUUUGGAUUAAAAAACCAUUAGUUAGGACAAUGUAUAGACACUACAACAGAAUUAGAUUAUAGGGACACAUGUUUGGGACACUUUUGAGUAAGUGUUCCAUUUAUACUAAAACUUAAAAACACAUCUACUAAUGCCUAAAUAUAAAGUCCAAUCCAACUAAAAAUAAAAGAUUACUCUACUCAACCCAUCACACCCAGUCCAUUUGGCCCGAUUACAAAAGAAAAGAAAAAAAAAAGAAAAAUCAAUUAUCAUCUUUUCUUCUCUCUUCACUCAAUCCACUGAAAUUCUAGAUGAAGAGUCUUUACUGUCGUCCUCCUCCGCCACCGCAGCCAGCGAGAUAGAGUUUCGGCGGUUGCUAAAUGCUUAAAUAAGUGUUGGUAAAUUAGCAACACUCUUUUAGGUUAUAGCGACACUCUUUAACUGUCACUAUAUACCUAGCGACCCCACAUAUAGCAAUACUUUUUAAAAGUGUCGGUAAUUUUAGCUAGCAGCACUUUUUUGACAUAUACCUACAUUUAAAAGUGUCGCUAUAAACCGUUUUUGUUUUAGUGAGAAUCCCAACAUUUAUCAUGUAUGAUCUUUUACGAAAGGUCCUUCUAUACAAGGAUUUAAGUGUCCAUCAGCACAGAUCGUAUCCACCAUGCCGUAUCAUGCCAACAAAUUAUCAGCAUGAUACAGCAUCCGUGCUGAUGGUACGGUUCAAAAUUCUUUAUUCUUUAAAUUAGUAAAUAAUUUUCUCAAUUAAGUUCAAAGAUUUGAUAAAGAUACAUAAUAAACAGUUAGAAUAGUUUGUUGCUAAAGGAUAUAAAUAUUUUAUGCCAUCAUAUGUCGCCACAUAUAUAUUUUUUGUGAUCGGCACUCAUAGGCAUGGCCCGGUACGCACUGUGCCGUACCGUGCCUGUAAGUUUCUGACACGCCCUGUGCCAUGACAGUAAAAUCCUUGCUUCUAUGGAUGUUACAAGACAAGUUAGAAUUUACUAUUUAGUGGUGGUAUUAAUAUGGAUUCUAGGGUUAGAAAGUUGAUAGUAUUCCAACUCAAUAGCAUUCUAGCUAUAGAGAUUUUUGACUUGAAGUGUAAUUAGACCGAGUACUCAUGCUGGGCUAAGCAGCCCAUGCAUGGCCUUGGGCUGGCCUGGCCCAUUUUAUUUUACAUCGAGUGCAUGCACAAGUGUAUUCCAUCACAUCAAUCAUCUGAUUACCUAAGAGAGUGUUUGGUUUUGCGUAAAACUAACUCAAAAUUAUUUUCGGUUCAAUUUUUUUUUUUUCACUCGUUUGUUCCGUCAUAAAUGUAUUUUUUUUGCAAAAUGCUUUCACAUAUUUGUCAAUUUUUUGAAAACGAAAACUCAACCAACGAACAUAUGUAGCCUACGAGGUGCAAGCUUGACGCGAUCUACAUAAAUGAGUGAAAAUUUGACUCUAUGAAAAAGUAAAAAUAUUGUGUACACCAGGUGUAUUGCAUAUAUACACUAUUUUUUUUUUAUAUAUCAUCAAUCUUCUACUAUAUUUUAAUAUAUAUAUACAUAUAAUUGGAUAUUUACUGGUUGUUUUUAUAUAUAAAAUUCUAAUAGUUAAAUUAAAAAUAUGAGAUAGACUAGACAAGUGAUUGAAGUGUGGUGCAUGAGUGCACACAAUAAAAUGAAUUUUAUAAUUUUUCAUUUCCAUUUCCUAUCAUCCAAGCAAGGGUAGCGCUAUGGAAAAUUUAAUUUCCUUUCCUACGGACCAAGCACUAAACUUAAAUUUUUUUCACUAAAAAUUAUUUUUUUUAUAGUUUUACGUGGAACCAAACAAUUCCUAAUUUAUGUUUGACAUUCUAAUCCAAUCCCUUCCUCCUAUCUCUCCUUCUCAUUCAUGCAAAAGCUAGUCCUCCUCCCCUUCAACUUUCUAACUCAAAAUUCUAAUUUAAAUUUAGAAUUUAUAUUUUAAAUAUAUAUAUUUCAAAUUCAGAUGCGAAUUUGAAUUCAAUUAAAAAUAUAUAUUUUUAAAGUGUAUAUUCUUUUUCUUUUUUUCUUUUUUCUUUUUUUUAAGUGUAUAUUCAAUGUUGGGUUAGUGAUAUUAAAUUCACUUAUUAGCCUAGUUGGCUUUAUUUUGGAUUUGGUUCAACAACUCAUAUAAUGAUCUAUUUAGUAAUUAGUUUGGGCUUUAGUUGACCCAUUUUGGCAUAUUGGGCCAAGUGAUGUUAAGAGAGGAUUCUCUUUGGGUUUAGAAAGAGAGAGUUCUCAUUUUUGCUCUCACGGGUUCUCUUUUCUUGAGAUAGAGAAGAGAGGUAUCGAGAGGGUUGGAAAAGGAGCUCUUUUAUUCUUCUUUGUUAGAAUUUUGUUAGAUUUGUAGAUUAAUUAUAGUUGGAUUAGGAUUAAUAUUGAAAUCUGUUGGAGAUAAAUUAAGAUUUACAUAUUAAUUAGAGUAUGAAUCUAACUAGAUUAGGAUAAAUAUUUAAAUCUAUUUGUGAGAUACCGAACCUUAGCAAAUUGGCAAAGUUACAUUAUAAGUUUAUGUUUGAUUGAGUUUGAGACGUUUUGCGCAAAAUAGACGUAAAAACGGACUUUGAAACUCAAGAUUUAUAUUGUAGAGGAAUAAGUGGAAUACUUAGUUAUAGAGGGGCUUGUUGGCAAUUUUGCUUUCUUAAAGCGGUGGAGUCCACGUGCUUCCCCUAUCCUUAUCCCCACCACUUUAAUUAGUUGUGGAGAGGCAGGGAAUGAUGUUAAUUAUCCUUUCCCUUUCUCUCUCGAGCUUAAUUGUAUGCUUGGUGGAGGCCACGACGGUUUGAGCUCGGAUCGACGUCGGCGUUGCGCCGAAGAGCCGUUCGAGCGUGUGGACGUCACGGUUGCGCCGUUGGAGGCCGAGCGAGCGCGUGGUUUCCCUUCUCUCGACUUCUCGCCGUGGUUGGGUUAGCGUUUCUAGGUGGGUUGAUGUUAAGUUACCGAAAUUUUCGGAUUUCCUCCUAAGCUUCAGUUGAUAGCAUGUAUUAUUGGAUUUAGUAUGUCAUGUUUAAUAGCUCGAUUCGUAGAUUUGCAUUGUUCUUAAAUGAAAUCUGAAUUGGAGCUUAGAAUGCUAGAUUUACUAUACAUGUUGGACUUGGAUUUGACUUAGGAGAAAACAUAUAGAUCCUACACCGUCACUUUCUGAAAAUUACCAGAUUUAGUUUCUGAAGCUGUUGCGCCUUGUAUCCACGCUGUUAGUGCGCAUUUGAUACUCAGGUAGCUUCUGAAGCUGUUGCAUCUUGUAUCCAUGCUGUUAGUGUGCAUUUGAUACUCGGAUAGCUUCUGAAGCUGUUGUGCUUGCAUCCACGCUGUUAGUGCGCAUUUGAUACUCGGAUAGCUUUAGGCGUUGUUGUUCAUUUGUAUAGCCGCUGUUUGUAUGCGGUAGAUACCUAGAUUAGUGUAGGAUGAGUUUACGCUCGUGCUGAGAUGCCGAAUUUAUUUUUAUAGUAGUGUGUAGACUGUUUCGGACUGUCGGGUGCCAUUGCGGUUGACGGUGGACUUAGAUUACUAUUUUUGCAUCAGAUUGUGCCAAGGGCAUGUGAGUUUUGGUUGUUAGACCAGUUAGACCCAUUUGCUUUGAUUAUAGUCUGUGAGAGCCUAAUUGAGUUCGGCAGAAAUACGUUUGCAUACUCGGUUGGGUAGCGUCCACGAGUGCCACUGCGGAGUCGGGCUUUAUGCUUUUGUGUUGUUGUCGGUUUGUCCUGGUUGGACUUGCUCUCCACUGAUGACCCAACGUGGUGGUAGUUAGUGUAGCUUCGGAAGGCGGGACCGGUGUGUUCACAGUCCCUAGUGAGAUUGGGCCAGAGAUUGCAUUUUCUACAGAUAGUUAGUGUUGGAUCGAGAUAGUAUUGUCACGCCCCGCGACCGCUCGCCUAUUUGGCCGGGUCGCGGUGCCGUCAACAGACCGCCGAACGGACAGAGUUUCCCCUGUACGUCCUAGGCGUCGCAAUCAAAACAAUGAACGAGUGUUCCAACCAGGAACUGAUAUCAAUCGAGAUUGCUUAAGGAAGUAUCAAUAACAUAAAACUAACUGCUAUUACAAGCAUUCAUUUCAUACAAUAUUUUUCUUUUAUAUUUACUUAACUUUCAAAUACAAUCACAUUAUUAUAUUUGAUUUACAAGUUUGAUACAUCUUGGUUCACUAUCCUCUAGUCCCCUAAGCUAGACUGCCUCAGGGUUCUGCUACCUCGGUCUCUGUGGUAGAGCGCUAUCUACAAAGCUAUGCCCUUGCCUCGCGCCGCCGCGCCGCUCACGUGUGUACCUGUAACACCCCAAAACAACGUAGGGUGAGAACCAACUCCAUGGUUCCCAGAUGUACGACCACCCAAGGAAAAAGCUAGACCAAUAGGUCCGAGGAGGCACUGCAAUAUGUUAGAUCAACAAUAUACAACAGAUAUAUAUUCAAAUUGAAAUACAUGCCAUGCCUCACAAUAUGCGAAUGAAAUCAUGCAACUCUAUGCAAGUAGAUUAAUUGAUUCUACUUCCUAUUAUUAGCCAUUCUUUACUUGUAGCCGUUCUUUACUUUAUUAGCUAUUCUUUAUCAUUAGCUUUUCUCUAGUCCUUACUUGGUCACAUUAUGCUCAUUGGCGAUUCUUUUCUAAGGUUGCUCAUGCCUUAGCUAUCUAUGCCACUCGACUCGGUCUUGAGUCAAUCCUCUGCGGAUAGUCCGCACAUUGGCUGCUUAACAGCCAAACACACUCGAUGACUCAGCCACCCGGCGGCGAAGUCAUCGCACACGCUCAGCUCUUGCUCAAGUCAUCCUGCGGCAUAAUCCACAAACCGGCUCAACCAUCCGGCGGCAAAAUCGUCGCACACGCCACGACAAUGGUUCUUUAGCCCCAGGCGGCGAAAUCAUCGCACGCACCCCGCACCACUCUGGGUGUUCCACAAGUCCUGGGAUUCCGGAAUCCACUUCACAUUACUCAAGGAUUGGUCUUAACCCUAUGGAAUUGACCUAUCUAGGUCCAAGCCUUUACUCAACCUAAGUUAAUAUUUUAGGUUCGUUGCUCUCUACUCAUAGCCUAGGUUUGUUAACACUAGAUCCAUUAUUCUCGUCUACCUAGAUUCACUUGACUCUAGGUUCUUACUUUUACCUUACAAUCUAUGUUCUCUAACAUUAGGAUUAAUGCCUUUCUCGUUAACCUAUGUUCAUUAACACUAGGCUCAUUAUCACUCUUGUUCAACCUAUGUCCUUGACGCUAGGUCCAUUGUCAUUCUUGUUCAACCUAUGUUCAUUAACACUAGGCUCGAUGCCACUCAAUCUUUUCUAGGUUCAUGACACUAGGUUCAAUGCCACUCGAUCUAUGUGUAUAUAAAUGUUCGCAUGCACAUGUCAUAUAUUUAACCUCUUUACAUUAAGAUCUCCACAAACAUGCUUGUCAUAUAUUUUUUUUAGCAUUCUUAUUUCAUAUCUAUAUGCAUUCUUACAUUAGCAUUUUACCAUAUGCAUCAUCUAUGUCAUUUCAUUAACAUGCAUCAAUAUGAAUUCGUAUGUUUCUUAGACAAAAAGGGUGAUCUAGUCGCUUCGGUAAACACAACCCAUCUUAAAUCGCUUUCCGAUUGCUCGUCGACACUUGCAAAAGGCCUUCCGCGGCACUCCGCACCCGUUUGGGCCCGAUCUUGUAGUAGCACUCUAAUAGCGCGUCGCUUCGCCACUACAAGAGUUAAAGGUCUUUGCCUUGCUAUUAUGGCGCUCGGGACUCGAUCUCGCUAUUUAUGGACGUCGUCUCGGCCUUCCAGGCGGAAACGAAGCUCCAAACGUCUGUUUCUUCAAUAUCUUUGUAACGGCUUGUCGGAUUGCCGAACCGACUUCGCCAACGCGUUUCGUUACCUAUCAAUUAGGUUUAUGGAGGGUCAAAUAAGAUCAAACCCUCCCAAAUCACAAAACCCUAUUUUGGAUGCUCUAGAUGCUAUUACUACCAAAUCCACCAAAUUGAUCUAUGAUUUGGGCACAAUACAUCUCAAUAGCAUGAUAGGGUACCAAAAAUAUCAUUUCUAGGGUUUGAAAUCCCCUCCUUAAAGAUUUACCAUGAGAUGAGGCAAAGAGCUUACCUCUCUAGGUUGCUCCAAGCACGAGGAAGACGAAGGAGAGGAUGAAGAUCUCCUUCUUUAUUUUCUUCUCCUUCUUCUCUUCUCUUUUCCUUCUCUUUCUUCUUCUCCUCUUCUCCUUUUCCCUCUUCUUCACGCACAGAGAGAGAGAGAGGAGGAGGUGGGAGAGUGAGGGAGUGAGAGAAAGAGAGAGAGAAACCCUCUCUUAAUCCCCUCUCAUAUUGUAACAAAAUGCUAAGAAGCCCCUCAACUUUCCAUCUCUCAACUGGCCCUCACUGGGCUGAACCUAUGCGAAGGGACCGAUCUCCCCGACAUGGGACCGAUCCCAGAGGACCUUCCCAUUUUCCACGCGUUCGGGAACCGGUCUCUCCCUGAGGGAUCGGUCCCCCGGAGACCGGUCUGCCCACUAAAGACCGGUCCCCGAGAGCUCGUCUCGCGGGGCUUAGCCAAUUUUUGGCCAUUCUCGCUGGUAUCGCCUGCGGGGACCGGUCCCUCCCUGCCAGGGACCGGUUGCAUCAGCAACCCCGCAACCCUCAGCCGAUGGGACCGGUCUCUCCCCGCCAAAUACCGGUCCCCGAGAGCAAAUCUGCUUAAGAUGCAGAUUUUGCAUCUUUGCUCUCGCGGACUCCAUUCCAAUGCACUUUUUGGGUUUCGUGCAUCCCUAGCUUUUUCGAGGGGUACUCACUCGACUAUUAGUCGAUCCUGGACGAAGCGUAACUCUCGGAUUUCGAGAAUUCACUUUGUUACAAGUAUAGUGGUAUAUAGCUGUAGAAUUGUUUCAGCUUCCUUUACUAUCUUUGAGUAUACUUCUGUAGACUUAGUGGGUGAGCCGUUGAGGUCGGUAGCGGUACCCACUGAGGACUACUUCUUUUUGUAGUAGUUCUCACACCUAGUUGUUGCCCUUUUUGCAGAGCCUUCUUCUCCGGCUGCUACUGUUGCUGAUACGGAUCGUGGAAAGGGAGUCGUGAGUUAGAUCUCUUCCUGUUUUGGCUGCUGAUCUAGAGUUAUACCAGCUACAGGUAGUGUUGAUUUUUUAUGCUUAUACAUACUGAUGUUAUAUCCUUGCUCGAGCGAGUGCUUUGUAUCUGGAGACUAUGUAUGUAUAGUGAACCUAAUGUUAUUUAUAUAUGCCAUUUAGUUUAGCAGCUCUAUACUACUAGUUGUAGUUUUGUAUAAUUUCAGGUACAUGUACAGUUAUCGCUUCGUAUACAGAAAAAUUUUCUUUGUAUGCGGCGGAUUUGUCGGCGUGCCUGGAGAAACGAGCAAUCCGGGGCGUGACACUAUUGGAGAUAAAUCAAUUAAGAUUUAGAUAUUUAUUAGAGUAGGAAUUCUAAAUAUAUUAGGAUUGUGGUACGUUUUGGUGGAGCUUUAUAAAUAGCUCUUGAUGAGAUGCUUUUGAGCAGAGAGUUGGUGAGAGAGAAUGUCUUCUUAGGUGAAAUCGUACCAGGAGAGAGAAAGUAAUGAUUGCAUGCACCUAGUAUACGGGUGCAUGUGAGAGAGAAAGAGAGGGAGUUGUCUUCUUUGUGGGUUUAUAGAAGACGAGAGAAUGGUGGAAGAGAUUCAAGAAAGAGAGCUCGGGUUCUAGCUACUUUAUGCAGAAGAGGAAUCAUGUGUAAUCUUCUCUUAUUUAAUGAAUCUUAUUUUAUUCACAUAUUUUCUGUUUUGAUUUUUCUCACUUUUGUGAUUGUAUUAGCUUUUGCUGAGGAGAUGGAUUUAUAGUAAAAAUUCGAUUCGACGCUUCCGUUGUGGAAUCCGAACAAUUGGUACCGGAUCAACAACAGUCAGUAUCGAAGCGGGUUACGGAUUCUCAAAAUCCAGUAUUGGGGCGAGUACCAGAUUCCUACAUUCUUGCUUGAUUCAAAUCUUCCAAGAUUGAUUGAAGGAAUUCUAAGAGGCAUUUCGAAGCGCGUUUCGCGGAUUCGGAGGGUGCUUAGAUGAAGAUGUAGCAAGAAGUAUUUUUUCCAAUUAGAAGGUUGCAAGCCCAUUGUAAUAGAGUGGUAAUCUCUAACCACAUAUUGUAAUCUUCUCAUUGGAUAGUGGAUUUGAUCUCUCCAUGCCCGUAGAUGUAGCUCGGUUUGGGUGAACCACGUAAAUCCUCUUGUGUUGUUGUGAUUGUGCUUGGAUAUUUUUCUUUCAACUUUAUUUACUUCAAUCUUGUAUAUCUUGGUUGUGGAUAAUUUAGAUACAUCACAUUUGUUUACUAGUGAGAUUAGUAUCUUGAUAGUGAGGGUUUCGUUAUUAGCUCACUACAUUCAACGGUCCAAUUAUCCCCUGUGCUGAAUUUUUAAAGUAUAGAUUUGAAUUUGAAUCUAAAGAGUAGUAUUGAUCAAAGAAUUUUGGAACGGCAAAUACUACUGUUACACUCUAUCUGGGGUGUAGAUCUUACAUCCCACUCAUCCAAUGUGUAGGAAUGUUUUACUUGUCACAUCAUGUGAGAAAUAAAAUAUUGUCAACUAUUGAGGUGUGUCUAUCAUAUAAAAAUUAGUUUUUGGACAGUGUUGUAGGUUUAAUUUACAACUCAUUUUGAGUUAUAACCCUAGUAUUGCUCUAUGAUGUUACACAAUGAAAGAAAUUAUUUUGGUCAUUUGAUUAGUGUGCACCUUAAUUUGUAUGAAGUUUUUCACUGCAUGCAGCUAAUAUACCACCACAACAAAAGAUAUUUUAGACGACAUUUUUUAGGUGACGUUCUAUUCUGGUGUCUUUAAUAUUUGGCAUGCAAGAAACCUUCUUUGCAUUUACUUCCCCUUCAGGGAAUGCGUUCCAAAUCAAUCACCGACAUUGCCUAAAAGCAAUAUCAUCGGUGCAUCGCUUCAUCGUAAGUGCUCUAAUUCCGCACCGACAUUUUGCUCUAAUGUGAGAUGGCCCACUUCGGCACAUCCCCACUUUCAAUCCUCAAAUUCCACGUGGCUUGCUAUUAGCUCAAGGCCUCACCAAGAGCACCUCAUUACUUGAUACCAUAUGCCACGGUCAACAUCAUACCACUUUCGCAACGACUCACACGAACACGUCGUUCGUGAACUAACUCCCCGAUAAGGCUACUCGCCAAAUCACUUUCCUCGAUUUUCGUUGGUGGACCAAGGGCCACCAAUACUACGUAGGCCUACAGCCUAAACCUGUCUUAACAUACGCGCAGCGUCUCUCACUCGCAAGCGUAGACCCAAUCAUAAUCGGGGCAAAAUUCUCACUUGGGAAUUCGCACACACUCCAACUAGGAGCAACCAAGACCCCAAACCGCAUUAAAUUCUCGGGUUGUGUCACAAUCGUACUCUCAGCAUUCUCUCAAUCGCAUUACACGCUCUAUCGAGCAAUCUGUGUCACUACCGACUCCUAUGCACCUAGUGCGAGCCACCAGCCCCACGAGUGAUCCAUGGCACGCUUCACACUUGGCAAUGCCCAAGUGCUACUGCCAACAAACUCACUCUGCCGAUCCAUAUUCGCACUCCACGAGUACCUGUACUCGGGCGUCGUAUGCUACUACAGCAUUCCACACUAAGUCUCGAUUUUGGGCAAUCUUACCCCCGCGUAUCGUCCACUAAGCACAUUCUCCUACCUCACAUUGAGGUACAACUAGGCCCACAGGCCAAACUUGGGUACUAACCAACCAUUCUCUCAACAGUGAUUCACUUUUACUGUUCGAUCUACCGAAACAACAUCUGGAAUACUCGGACUACUCGAGUAUCCAUCAGCGUCAUAACUCAACUCUCGCAAUUUGCUACACACAUUGCUUUGCGAGUUGGUCCAUCAUUUUCAUCUCUACUACGAGUCUCAUCACCAGACCAUCACUAGCAACUCGCUAGUGCCACAUAGCUCGCUACCUACACCGGCAGGUACUACGCUCUCACAACACAAGCAGGCCCGGGUAUCCACAUUUACCCGUCCCCUUGGUCCCUACUAUACUUACACAUAUAGUAGUAAGUGACUAUAUGCUCCAUGCAUGCAAUGCACCACUUUAUAUCAUGCAGAAACACAUAACUGCAUUAAUAACUCAUACCUGCCACGACGUCGUCAGCAGCAGUUCCCAUAUCCCGGGUCGCGUGUCCAUGGCCACUUGGCGCCCGCCGCGAACCCCUCGGUUGCAUCAUUGUCAUCGCUCGCUCUCCCGACCGUGCCGCAGGUGGCAGACCCACCGGCGGUCCCGGAGAGGAAAAAUCCGUCGCCAACGCCAAGGCUCGGCUAUCACUUUGCAGACACUCAUCCCGCAUAUGGCUUGGCUGCCCACAACGGAUACAUCUUCCAUCACGCAGCGCACACCGCCACGCCUGGUGGGUACCACCACAAAUCACACAGCCUGGGGAGGAUCGAGUAGAGGACGACUUUGAGUGGCGCCUAGAACUUGACUGCCCACCCGAACUGUUCGAUAGUGGCCUCACCCCUCCCCACUCAUACUUAUGAGAUUCGCGCUCCUCAUGCACGAAAGCCUCGCCAUGCUCUGCCCACAAUGCUCAAUCCAACACCUUCGUGAAGGUUGUGAGCUUAAGGAUUUGCACCUUCUCGUAAAUAUCUGGUCGAAGUCCAUGUAAGAACCAAUCGGUCAUAUCCUUGUCAUCCCGUACCACAUCCGGGACGCAUCCCACGAUACGGGAGAACUCCCGUUCGUACUCCCGCACUGAGCGGUCUCCUUGACGCAGCUUCCUGAACCUGUCCUUAAGCCUUCUCUUUUCACUGUCGGGGAAGUAAGCUGAGAAUACCAAUCCCCGAAACUCAUCCCAUGCCAUAGGAGGAAGACUAGGCGAUUGGUUCCCCCGAAUGCCUUUCCAUCACACCUUCGCCGAUUGCUUCAAGCAAUGCACGGCUAGGGGCACCUUGUCCCGCUCCAAUGUGUACAGCUCCUCGAAGAGCGUUUCCAUGGAGUCAAUCCACAUAUCCACAAUCUAGGGAUCGACAUUCUCUCCAUCGAAGGUAGGCGGAUCAAACUUCUUGAAGGUCAUGAGGGCCGCCAAAGCCCGCUCUUUCUCCGCCUCCACCAAUGCACUUUCAGGAGUCGGAUCGCCCGACCCCGACGGAACCAUCUCUGCCGCAAGCCCCGCCCAUCCUCGACGAGCCGCAACUGGCGCAGCCACUAGCUGCUCCACGGUCUCCUGGAGUCUCUUGAUCCAUUCUUCCUGGCGCAUGGUAGCCUCCUACUGACGCUGCACUACGCCCACAAGCACUCCCAACUGUUCGCGGAGCUCCGAGCCUCCUCUCGCUCCGGAUUGCUCAGGGACAUCACUUGUCCUAUCCCGCGUCGAUCUAGCCGAAGAUCGCCUACGCGGUGCCAUCAUUCCCUGAAACAUGACAACACGAUUAAUUCUCAACCUUCGAGGUCGAGUACGAAACAUUUAACAUUGACUCAAAUCGGGCGAAAGUCAUACAAGGGCGUCUAUUCUCAUCACUCGGUUUCAUGUUGUCGUACAGCCAACAUGAACACACUCGGUUGAGAAUAAACCACACCUUGAAUUUACCUCUAAUCUCUUUUUUAGAGGUUUACAACAUAACCCAAUCCAUUAUCCUUUCGCCACAAGUCACAAGUCCUCGUCUCUCACGAGCCUUAAUCUCCUAUGGUUUACUAUCCUAGGGUCUCCUAGGUCAAGCUAAACCAUUUUCUUUAUACUCUUUUAUGUUCUUUUUAGGUUCUUUUUA
rnacentral:lncRNA from 1 species